CCGCUCGAAGAUGACGUAAUCAUCAAGCACAGACUUCUCACUCGAAACCACAACCACAAGAGGCGAACCCCCAUUGAAGAAGCUCCAGAAGAAGUUCACAUCCCUGUUCGUCGAGCUCGACAAGAACGAGGACAACUAUGGCGACUGCGACAAGCUGGCCAAAGCUUUCCUCCAAGAGCUCAGCACAUUCGAGAUUCCGCUCCUCAAGAGCAAAGCGGUUGUGGAUGCAAAUCUCAGAGAGAAGCACAAUUUCGACGAGUUGAGGGAGGAGAUAAAUCGGCAGAUAGUGCAAGCGCAGACCGACAUUGAAUUACUGAAGAAGCAGCUUGAGGAGAGUAAAAUCGAAAGAAGGCAUAAGGAGGAGUGUGAGGCGAUCAGGAAAAUGAUCGCUACACAACCGCCUCGGUCCGAAACGCUCAAAAUCAUAUCCGAUUUGGAGAAAGAGAUCGUCGCUUUGGACGCUGAGAACACGGCAAGUUCGAGGAUGCUGGAGCUCCGAAAGAAGCAGUUUGCUCUGCUUUUGCAUGUGGUAUGCAGCUCUGUUAAAUUCGCCAAUUUUCGAUUAUGUUGCCUGCGUUAAGCAGUAGAACCCUUUUGAAACUAGAUUUAAUUUUCGUUGUAUUUGAUGUUUUUGCAGGUGGAUGAGUUGCAGAACACCAUAGAGGAAGAGCAGAAGAGUUUGAUUGAGGAGAAAGAGCACAAACACGGAAUCCGUGCAUGUUGAUUAGAGUAUGUAAUGCAUCUCUUGGUUUUGCAGUUGUAAGAUUGUGUUUUUCAUGAAUGGGUUUCUAUCUAUCUUGAAUCUUGAUUUAUAGAAACGGGAAUGUAGAGUGGUGCUCUACAGUUGGAAUAUGUCAGCGAUAUUUUGAAAUUCUUAAUUUUGUGCAACUUGUAGAUUUUCUUGCAUACUGCUUCACCAAGUUCACAUGAUGGGUAGAACUUUGCCAGAACUUCGUUCUGGAUCAAUUUCAAUUGAAAUUUUUAAUUGUCUAAACGUAAUGCUUGUGUGUACAUUGCAUUUGAGUGUAAUAUUACAGUUUGCAUCCAGAUAAAUAUUGAGAAGUUGGAAAUGCAUACUUAUUUUGGGUAGUGUCAAAUAAACUCUUGUGCUUUUCCUUUUCCGUGUACAAUGGCUACUGUUGCUUUACUCAAGUUGUUGAUGUGUAACCCUUUGAGCAGAGCUAAAAUCCCUUUUGCCGCCUAAUCUCAUUUCAUUCAAAUGUUUCUGUUUUUAGUUUUAAAACUUUUUCGAUUUUUCUGCUGUGUAAAAUAAGAACCAUUGGAUUAGAGUCCAAGUGGCUUCUUAAGUGAGGUGUUAGAUUGAGACAAGUGUAAUCAUCUUAUAGGAUGAUAGUUCAAUGGCUAGGAUUGAGUUUGGUAUUGAGGCAGUUAGAGAAGAAUCUCUCUUCUCUCUCCUCAACGGUUAUAUUUCCUGUUUGGCUUGUAAUGAAAAGUAGCAGAUUUCAUUCCUUCAUUUUUUUUUCAGUUCUUUCACAGAGAGCAACGUUCUCUCAUUUCUCUCCCAAACACAUCCAAAAACUAUGAAUUCUAUCAUGGCCUCAGAGCCAGGUUCGAUUGUUUGAGCUGGGCGUGAUCUGUGAACAGAAAAUCGAGCUCGAUCUGAGCUAUCGUUGAGCUGAUUUGGAAAUCGAAGUAGCGAGCUCUUGCAUCAAAGUGUCUCAUAUGGCAGGAUCUGGAGCAGCUGAGCUUCGAACACCAGUUUUCAAUGGAGAAAACUACGAAUUCUGGAGUAUUCGAAUGAAGACUAUUCUGAAAUCGAAUGGUUUGUGGGAUCUGGUCGAGAAUGGGCUAAAUGACUCAGACAUGAAGAAGGAAAAAGAGGAGGCUGCUGAUACUGAGAAGUCCAUGGUGGCUCAGAUUCUGAUGAAGGAUGCUCGUGCACUUGGAUUAAUUCAAAGUGCAGUUUCAGAUCAGCUAUUUCCAAGGAUUGUGAAUGAGGAGACCUCGAAGGGAGCUUGGGAUAUUCUGAAAUUGGAAUUCAGAGGAGAUAAACAGGUACGAAAUGUUAAAUUGCAAGGGUUGCGUAGGGAAUUUGAAUAUACUCGCAUGAAGGAUAGUGAAUCUCUAUCUAUCUAUCUGGUUAGAUUGUUUAAUAUGAUGAAUCAAAUGAAGAGUUAUGGUGAGGAGUUAUCUAGGGAGAGAAUUGUGCAGAAGCUAUUGUUUAGUCUGCCUAAGUCCUAUGAUUCUAUAUGCUCUGUGAUAGAGCACUCUAAGGAUCUUGAAACUCUGGAAGUUCAAGAAGUGGUUGCCUCCUUGAAGAGCUUUGAGCUCAGAUUGGAUAGGCACACUGAGAAUUCUUCAGAAAGAGCUUUUGCUAGUCUGAAUGUAAAAGAAAAGAAGCCUAAGAAUGAGAGUUUUUCUGAAAAUCAGAGUUUUCAGAAAAGUGCUCCUGGAAAUCAAAGCUUUCAAAAACAUUGGAAGCCUAAUGAUGGUAACAUAGCAGCUUGUAAGCAUUGUGACAAGUUACAUUAUGGCAAGUGCUGGUAUGAAGGCAAGCCUAAAUGUCAUGGAUGUGGAAAAUUUGGACAUAUGGUCCGAGAUUGCAAUGGAAAUAGGAAUGCACAUAGGGUGAAUUAUGCAAAUGAGAUGGAAGAAACUGGUACACUAUUCUAUGUCUGUAAUGCUGCAACAGAUGUAAAGGUUAAUCACUCUUGGUACAUAGACAGUGGGUGUAGUAAUCACAUGACAGGAGAUGAGGGACUUUUAGUAAAUGUUCAAAGGGAUUUGACUUCUAAGGUGAAGAUGGGGACUGGAGAAGUAGUUUCAGUUACUGGAAAAGGAACUUUGGUGAUAAAAACCAAGUUUGGUAAGAAGCACAUUCAUGAAGUAAUGCUUGUACCUGGUCUUGAAGAAAAUUUGCUCAGUGUUGGGCAAAUGAUGGCACAUGGCUACCAUCUUGUGUUUGGAGAGAAUAUGGUGAGAAUCUAUGAUGAUCAGUCACUGGAAAAUCUGAUUGUGAAGGUGCAAAUGACAAACAACAGAUGCUUUCCAUUGACAAUGAUGCCUGCCAGUGAGUUGGUUCUAAAAGCAAGUGUCACACAUUGCUUGCAGACAUGGCAUAAGAGACUUGGGCAUUUAAAUGAAAGAAGUAUGAAGCUGCUUGAAAAUCAAGGGAUGGUUCAUGGAUUACCUCACUUAGAACAAAUGUCAGUGGUGUGUGAUGGAUGUAUGCAAGGAAAGCAGCAUAGGGAUUCAUUCCCUUUGGAAUCCACUUGGAGAGCUUCUAAUCCCUUGGAAUUGGUUCACACAGACAUUUGUGGACCAAUGAAAACAGAAUCCCUCUCUGGAAACAGAUAUUUUCUCCUAUUUACAGAUGAUCACACUAGGAUGUCUUGGGUGUAUUUCAUUAGAAACAAAUCAAGUGCAUUGGAGUGUUUCAUGAAAUUCAAAGCUAUGACUGAGCUGCAAAGUGGGUUCAAGAUAAAGAGUUUGAGAAGUGAUAGGGGUGGAGAAUUCUUGUCAGGAGAGUUUAACAGUUUCUGUGAAGAAUCUGGCAUUCAAAGGCAAUUAACAGUGGCUUACUCCCCUCAGCAGAAUGGAGUAGCUGAGAGGAAGAAUAGAACAAUGGUUGAAAUGGCUAAGUCAAUGCUGCAUGAGAAAGGUAUCCCUUAUGAGUUUUGGGCAGAGGCUAUCAAUACUGCAGUCUAUUUGCUGAAUAGAUGUCCUACCAAGGCUCUCAAUAAGAUAACACCAUUUGAGGCUUAUACUGGCAGAAAACCAGGGGUUGCACAUUUAAAGAUAUUUGGAUCCCCUUGUCAUGUGCUUAUUCCUUCAGCAUUGAGGCAUAAGCUUGAAGAAAACAGUCACAAGUGUAUUUUUGUAGGCUAUGGUCUUUGUGAAAAGGGAUAUAGACUGUUUGAUCCAAGAAAUAGGAAGAUUAUUCUGUCAAGGGAUGUGAAAUUUGAUGAAGAAAGCUUAUGGAAAUGGGAGAAUGCUAGAGAAGGAGAAAUGACUGUGCUUGUGCCUACUGGAAAUCAAGACUAUGCUCUAAAUCCAGAUUUGAAUGCACCACUGCAAAUACAUGAAGAAGUCAUAGCUCCAGAAGAACCAAGUCAAAGCUUGGAGACACAAACACAAGCAGAUGGAGAUCCUACCCUGCAGGAUGAGAGCAUUGAAGGAAGUUCUCAAGCUAUUGAUCAUACACCAAAGAAAUGGAAAAGCAUUAAUGACAUUAUGGCUUAGUGUAAUAUGUGCAUUAUGGAGCCUGAGAAUUUUGAAGAGGCUGAUCUAGAUGAGUCAUGGAGAAGGGCAAUGGAAGCUGAGUUAGAAAUGAUUGAGAAGAAUAACACUUGGCAGCUUGUGGAAAGACCUUUUAACAAACCUGUCAUUGGUGUCAAAUGGAUCUAUAAGACCAAGCUUAAUCUAGAUGGCACUGUACAGAAGAAUAAGGCUCGAUUAGUAGCUAAGGGCUACUCACAAAAACCUGGAAUCGAUUACAAUGAGACUUUUGCCCCAGUAGCAAGGCUAGAUACCAUUAGGACUUUGAUAGCUCUGGCUGCACAGAAGGAAUGGCAUUUAUACCAACUGGAUGUCAAGUCUGCAUUUCUGAAUGGAGUUCUAAAAGAAGAAGUAUAUGUGGAGCAGCCACAGGGUUUUGAGAAAAAGAAUGAAGAAAUCAAAGUGUAUAAGCUGAACAAGGCCUUGUAUGGAUUAAAACAAGCCCCAAGGGCAUGGUAUGAUGAGAUAGAUUCCUACUUCAACAAGGCAGGAUUUAAGAAAAGUCCAAGUGAAGCUACACUUUACAUUAAAACUGAUGAAGGCUCAGGUAUUCUCAUUGUUUCUCUCUAUGUGGAUGAUAUUGUUUAUACUGGAAGUUGUGUAAAAAUGCUUGAAGAGUUCAAAAAUGACAUGAUGAGGCAUUAUGAGAUGACUGAUCUCGGGCUACUCUAUCAUUUUCUUGGCAUGGGAGUUGUGCAGACUGAGAAAUACAUAUUUCUCCAUCAGAAGAAGUAUGCAAUGAAAGUAGUUGAGAAGUUUGGUUUAAAAGGCUGUAAGUCUGUGGCAACCCCCUUGGUUGCAAAUGAAAGGCUGUGCAAAGAAGAUGGAAGUGAAAUGGCUGAUGAGAGUGAAUAUAGGCAGAUUGUAGGCAGUCUGCUGUAUCUGACAGCUACAAGACCAGACAUCAUGUUUGCCUCAAGUCUGCUUGCUAGAUUUAUGCAUAAUCCUACUAGAAAGCACAUGGGAACAGCCAAAAGGGUGUUGAGAUAUGUUCAAGGCACACUGGAUUAUGGAGUUGAGUUUAAAAAGGGCAAGGCAGCUACCUUAAUAGGCUACUGUGACAGUGACUGGGCAGGCAGUGAGGAUGACAGAAGAAGUACCUCAGGAUAUGUGUUUACUCUGGGAUCUGGUAUGUUUUCUUGGGCCUCAAUCAAACAGAAUACAGUAGCCUUGUCUACUGCUGAAGCAGAAUAUGUGAGUGCUGCUGAAGCAACAUCACAAGCUAAAUGGCUAAGGUUUAUACUUGAGGAUUUUGGAGAAGAGCAAGUGGAAGGCACACCAAUUCUGUGUGACAACACCUCUGCCAUAGCAAUGGCAAAGAAUCCUGUCUUUCAUCAGAAAUCCAGGCACAUAAGCAGGAAAUUCCAUUUCAUCCGAGAAGCUAUCCAAGCAAAGGAGAUUGAGCUAAUCUACUGCAAAUCUGAAGAUCAAAUUGCAGAUAUACUAACCAAGGCUUUAUCCAAGGAUCGUUUUGUGCAUCUCAGAGAUUUGCUUGGAGUUAAAUCAGUCAAAGGGUUAGAAGGGAGUGUUGAUGUGUAACCCUUUGAGCUGAGCUAAAAUCCCCUUUGCCGCCUAAUCUCAUUUCAUUCAAAUGUUUCUGUUUUUAGUUUUAAAACUUUUUCGAUUUUUCUGCUGUGUAAAAUAAGAACCAUUGGAUUAGAGUCCAAGUGGCUUCUUAAGUGAGGUGUUAGAUUGAGACAAGUGUAAUCAUCUUAUAGGAUGAUAGUUCAAUGGCUAGGAUUGAGUUUGGUAUUGAGGCAGUUAGAGAAGAAUCUCUCUUCUCUCUCCUCAACGGUUAUAUUUCCUGUUUGGCUUGUAAUGAAAAGUAGCAGAUUUCAUUCCUUCUUUUUUUUUUCAGUUCUUUCACAGAGAGCAACGUUCUCUCAUUUCUCUCCCAAACACAUCCAAAAACUAUGAAUUCUAUCACAAGUGGAGAAAAUGCUUUCGUAAGUAUCUUAGGAUGCAACAUUGAUGCAUCACAAUGUUUUGAAUAUUUGAUGCUAGUUUUUGAACGUAAAACAAAUAUAUAUUUGUUGUCGCAUGUGCUACAAAAUGCUAAGGGUUUUUUCUUUUGUUUUUUUCUUUUUUCAAUCACUCCAGUUGUAUUUGUGUUUGCUUUACAAAGAGAAAGGUUUGACUAUUGAUCACCAAAGAGGGUAGUGGGGAGACUAACGUUUGCUAAACAAUUCUUCCUCCAUGGUAGAUUUGCUUUCCCUGUUCCUCUACAUUGAGAGAGUUCAUAUCUGUUAAAUAUAUAUUUUUUAUAUUUUUUAGAUGAGAUGAAUACCUGUUACAUUCAUGUUUCAAGUGAGAGGUUUUUGGUUAGUUCCUGGGAAGCAAAGGGGCAUAAUUUUCCCUAUAGCUUGGGACAUCAGGAAGCAAUGAAAUGGGGAUAGUUUGAGGCUUCGUAUUGAAUUUGGUGUUUAUGUUCUGGUACCUUUUUAUUUUUAUUUUUAUUUUUUUAUGGUUUUAGAUAGUGAAUAAUCCAUUUUGCCUAUGGACUGUGUAUAUAGAUGAAGUUUCACUAUGUCACAUUAGAUUUUGUUUCCUUAGUAUUUGUGAUUGAUCUUGAUAUUGGAUGUAGGCUGUACUUUUAGAGGUGCCAAAGCCCUAUUCAAUUGGGUAUGGUUUUUCAGGGUUUAGUAUUUGUGAGGUAAGAAGUACAGGAAUAAGGUUGUAGGCUGUACUUUUAGAGGAGGUGAAUGUGUUGGGACUUCCUCAUUAUCCAAGCAUACUUAUACUUCUUUUAGUGGUAACUGGUCUUCGAAAAAUGAAACAAAAAGUAUGUUAGUUUUUUGUGAACCUCUUGAUGAGGCCUUGAUGGCUUAUUGGAAGCAGAUUUUUGAUAACGUAUUUGAAGUCGAUUUUAAUGUAUCAGAAGUAGAUUUUAACGUAUUGGAAGUAGAUUAGAACACAUGUGCAUGUUUGAUAAGGUGUUGUGAGGUGGUAUGUAUGUAUCUAGGUUCCUCUCCAGAGUUUAUUGGUUGAAUUGAAGUAGAUUACGACAAAACAUUCCUUAUGUUACAGAGGAAAAAAAACAGAAAUAUAAAGUACAACUUAGAUCCUAACCCUUCUUUGCAUCCUGGUCACACACACUGAUCAUUACAUAGAACGUGUCUUGUACAUUGUCUAGAAAUUGGACAUAUGCAUAUCUCCAUGUCGUCGUUAACAUUAAAGGACCACAAACUCCCCAAAAUCCCACAAUGAAUCCAAGUGCAAGGGAAAUAUAAAACCAUAGGAUUUCAUGCCCAUUGUCCACAUCUUGAUUAUUCUAAUUACCUGCAUCAAUCCCAUUAGUUCCCAGGCACUCAUUUGGGAGGGGAGCGCCACAAAGUUUCUGGUUCCCUCAAAAUGCAGAGGCAUUGAAGCCUUGGAACUGAGUAGUUGUUGGUAUUGGUCCUUCAAGAUUAUCGUAGGGGACAUUGAAAAAUGACAAGAAAAUAAGACUCCUCAUGAUGUUGGGAUUUUUCCAGACAAAUGAAACAUCGUACACUGCAAUUGUUGAACCACGGAUGAGUUGGAUGGCUAUUAAAGUAAGGGGAAUCUUCGUCAGCCAACCAAAUUUUCUAAUGAACAUCGUAGCACAAUUCAUAAAAUGUAAACUCUCAAAAGAAAAAUGAAAAUUUACAUUACGUGUGAUGCCAUGGCCAAAACAAUUUCCACAGAAAGGAGACUCAAAAGUCAGAGCAAGAAACCGAAGAAGAAACGGAAAAAAAAAAAAAAAAAAAAAAAACCGAAGAAGAUCCUCAAGAAAGAGCUCAACACGUCCAAUGCUCAGGAUAAAGGACAAGGUGGGAAAAAAAAAGGAAAGGAAAAAUGUGAAAGUGUUUUACAAAGUGAAAGGACGAAUGUUUUCAACAAAAAAAGGAAAAGGAAAUUUCAAGGUAAGCUUCCAUGGUUUGGGGGACAUGUCAUUUUUCUUUACCUGUUUCUUUUCUUACCAAAGUGAACUGGCUCUGGUCUGAUCCAUGUUUGCUUACUAAAGUUAAUUAAUUCACAGGAACGUUGAGAUGAAAGAGAGAGGAGAAAGGAAAUAAUGAGAAAGGACUGUUUUCCACAACGCCCUACCGAAACUUCCUUGCUGGGAUGCGUUCUCUUUCUUCUCACCAAAGUGAUUGUGUCCUGCUUACUGAUGCCGAGGGAAUUGAACACAUAAUUGCUGAGUUAAUGGCUUGAGUUAUAAGUAAUUGCACUCUUAGUUCAAUUGUUAGAAUAUUUAACAAACCCAAUUGUGUAGUUGCGUUAAUUAUUGAAGAUAUUUUGUAGUCAACACUCUACCUAAUUGUUGAGUUGUGAUUACCACCUUUUCCUUGAUUUGGGUUUCAUUAUAAUUAGUGUUGGCCCUUACAGCUUAAAUUUGUGGCAUGUUGUCUGGUGGUUUCUUGCCCUCACUCUCUCUCUCUCUCUCUCUCUCUCUCUCUCUCUCUCUCUAUAUAUAUAUAUAUAUAUAUAUAUGUUUAUGUACUGUGUAAAUCUCCUCAUGAUGGAAUAUACAAACAUUCAUUGAAAAUCAACAUUAAUACUUAUCUGCGUAGCUUCCUGGAACCUCUCUUUCUGCUGAUUUUCUUUCUAAUUCUAGUUCCACAAUCCCGUGCUCAGAGAAGAUUUCUUGAAACCACUUUCCAAUGGCAUUGAGCAGCCAAAGGGCCUUCACUUCAGCUACUGAGGUUUGUCCAUGGAAAUACGAAGUGUUUUUGAGUUUCAGGGGUGAAGACACUCGCAGGAGUUUUACAGACUAUUUAUACAAACAAUUGGACUGGCGAGGAAUCAGAACUUUCAGGGAUGAUCCAGAUCUUGAAAGAGGGACAGAUAUCAAUCAGGAGCUUCUGACCGCGAUUGAACAAUCAAAGUUCGCAAUCAUAAUUUUUUCAGCAAACUACGCUUGAUCAAGUUGGUGUUUGCGUGAACUAACCCAUAUUGUUCAGUCCAGGAAAGAGAAGGAGAGAAUUUUCCCAAUCUUUUAUGAUGUGGAUCCCUCUGAUGUAAGACAUCAACGGGGGAGUUUUGGGACAGCCCUCGUUAACCAUGAAAGGAAUUGUGCUGAAGACAGAGAGGAGGUGCUUGAGUGGAGAAAUGCUUUAAAAAAAGUUGCUAAUCUCGCUGGGUGGAAUUCAAAGGAUUAUAGGUAAGCAAGCAUGAAGCAACAACUGAUACAUAGCUAAUAAGACCAAUUCUUGAAUAUUGCAUUUCAGUUUUGCCAUGCACUUUAUUUACGAUAUAUUCAUAUAACCUCUUCUGAUGAAUGUUUUUUUCUUCUACUUCCAGGUAUGAUGCAGAGCUUAUCACAAAAAUUGUUGAUGCAGUGUGGGAUAAAGUGUAUCCCACAUUUUCAUUGUUAGAUUCCUCAGAUAUAUUAGUCGGACUUGAUACUAAACUAAGGGAAAUAGAUCUGCAUUUAGAUACAAGCGCAAAUGAUGUGCGCUUUGUGGGGAUAUGGGGGAUGGGCGGAAUGGGUAAGACAACCCUAGCUAGAUUAGAUUAUGAGAGAAUUUCUCAUAGUUUUGAAGGUAGCAGCUUACUUGCAAAUGUCAGAGAGGUCUAUGCAACACAUGCAUGGUCUAGUUCCUUUACAGAAACAGCUGCUUUCCAAUAUCUUGAGGGAAAAUAAUAUACAAGUUUAUGAUGCUUAUAGGGGAUUUACUAUGAUAAAGAGGUGUCUAUGUAAUAAAAAGGUUCUUCUCAUUCUUGAUGAUGUAGAUCAAUCAGACCAACUGGAAAUGUUGAUCAGAGAAAAAGACUACUUUGGUUUGGGAAGUAGAAUCAUCAUUACAACUAGAGAUGAACGUUUGUUAGUCGAACAUGGGAUAGAGAAGGUAUAUAAGGUCAUGCCAUUAACCCAAGAUGAAGCUCUUUAUCUCUUUAGUAAGAAGGCCUUUCAAAAAGAUGACCUUGAAGAAGAUUAUCUAGAACUGUCUAAAAGUUUCAUAAACUAUGCAGGAGGUCUUCCAUUAGCUCUUAAAACUUUGGGGUCUUUUUUGUACAAAAGAAGUCGAGAUGAAUGGAAGAGUGCACUAGAUAAACUCAAGCAAGCUCCUGACAGAAAAAAUUUUCAAAUGUUGAAAAUAAGCUAUGAUGGACUAGAGGAGAUGCAGAAGAAAAUUUUUCUUGAUGUUGCAUGUUUCCAUAAGUCUUAUGACAAGGAAACUGUGAUUAAAAUACUAGACAGUUGUGGUUUUGUUGGCACUCGUAUUGUGAUACAUGUUCUUAUUGAGAAAUCUCUCUUGUCUCUUUCAAACAAGCGUCUGUCCAUUCAUGAUUUGAUACAAGAAAUGGCAUGGGAGAUUGUUCGUCAAGAGUUUUGACGAGCCAGGUGGUCGCAGUCGCUUGUGGCUUCACAGUGACAUCAUUCAUGUACUCACGUACAAUACGGUAAGAAGUUGCGCAAAAAAUAAAAUACCAAAGCCUUGGAUAACAUACCAUAAUUCCAUUAAACAUGAUAAGAGAGACUUGAUUAUGACAUUAACUUUACUUUUAUUCCUAUUUGCAAGGGAACGGAAGCCAUUGAAGGCAUAGUCCUAUGCUUGCAGAAAUUUGAAGCGGCACACUGGAAUCCUGAAGCAUUCACUAAGACGUGUAAACUCAAGUUGCUCAAGAUUAAUAACUUGCGCCUUUCUUUGGGCCCAAAGUAUCUUCCCAAUUCCUUAAGGUUUCUGGAGUGGAGUUGGUAUCCCUCCAAAUGUCUGCCACCAAGAUUUCAACCGGAUGAACUUGCUGAACUUAGUCUGCAGCAUAGCAAAAUUGAUCACCUUUGGAAUGGAAUAAAGGUAGACCUUUGUAAAUCCAUUUCUUUUCAAUUUCAAUAAAUUGUAAGUUUAUCGGAAGUUAAUUAAUCUACCAUUUUCAUGUUUUAUACAGUUCAUGAUCAAGUUGAAAUCCAUUGAUCUUAGUUACUCCGAGAACUUGACAAGGACCCCAGAUUUCACAGGUACUCAGAAUCUUGAGAGGCUGGUUUUUGAAGGUUGUACUAAUAUUGUUAAGAUUCAUCCAUCCAUUGCCCCUCUCAAAAGACUAAGAGUUCUGAAUUUUAAAAAUUGUAAAAGGAUUAAGAGUCUCCCAAGUGAAGUAGAACUGGAAUCUCUUGAAACAUUUGAUCUUUCUGGGUGUUCAAAAGUGAAAAAGAUUCCAGAAUUUGUGGGAGAAAUGAAGAAUUUUUCGAAGCUUUCUUUAAGCUUCACUGCUGUUGAGCAAAUGCCUUCAUCAAUUGUACAUUUGAUCCCGAGUUUGAAGGAGAUUGAUGUGAGUGGAAUUUCUAUGAGAGAUGCGUCAUCACCCCUGGUUCCAGUGAAAAAUAUCGAACUGCCUAAAUCAUGGCAUUCUUUCUUCACUUUUAGCUUACUUCCAAGAAUGAAUCUGCACCCUGUGGGUCUGGUGUUAGCUUCCUUAAAAGAUUUACACUUUUUGAAGUGUCUAAAUCUGAAUGACUGCAAUCUUUGUGAAGGAGCAAUACCUGAAGAUAUUGGUUUAUUGUCCCUUUUAGAAAUAUUAAAUCUUGGUGGAAACCAUUUUGUUAGCCUUCCUGCAAGCAUCAGUGGGCUUUCUAAGCUUAGGUGGUUCAUAUUGAAGAAUUGCAAAAGGCUUCAAAAAUUGCCAAGCCUUCCAUCAAACAGACGACUAGAGUUUAUUGUACAGAUGGAUAAUUGUACUUACUUGAAAAUAUUCCCAUAUCAACCAUGGAUGUGCAGCGCAAAAGACGUUUUUAUUACUUCUUUCAAUUGCUUCAGUUUGGUUGACCAUGAAGGUUCCAGUUUCAUAAUAUAUUUAACGCUGAAGAAAUUCCUUCAGGUACUUCUCCUUCUCCCUCUCUCCCUCCUUCCCACUUUAGUUGUGUAGUACUAUUUAUAUCCUUCCUUUGGUGCAGGAAAGUCCUCGUUCUUUGAGCUUAUUCAGUAUUAUAAUUCCUGGAAGUGAAAUUCCUGAGUGGUUCAGUAAUCAAACUGUGGGAGACCCACUAAUUGAGACUCUACCUUCGGAUUCUAAUAGCAAGUGGGUGGGGUUUGCUUUUUGUGCUCUAGUUGGACCUGUUCAAGAAAUUUCACCUACCGCUGAGGAGCUAAUUGGUUUAGAACGUCAUUCAAUCUAUUUUCGCUGCCUUUUUGAUUUAAACACCCCUGCGUGCCCGGGUUGUUGUAUUGGGGUAGACGAUGUAGCGUCCGAUCACCUUUGGUUGCUCCUCAUGUCUAGGCAAGAUGUCUUUUUGGAACCAAACGGGAGACCUGGGACCUAUUGGAGGGAGAAAUGCGAUAAUAAGAUUCGGUUUCUUUUCUACGCAAGAUCUAAUCUAGGAGAGAAGUCGGUGGUGAAGGUGAAGAAGUGUGGAGUCCGCGCACUGUAUGAACAAGACGCUGAAGAGCUCAACCGAACAAUGAAACAAUAUUCCAACAAAAAGAAUUCUUUUUAUGAGGACGUUACAGAUUAUGAUUUUGACAAAUCAGAAUGGUACAAGGUGCCAUAACUAAGCGAACACGUGAACAGUACUGUACUGACACAGGACCAAGCGGUAUUGGUAGCCUUGGCAAAGAAUCACUCUGCAAAAAAAUGAAAGAAGACUAACUGUCCGGUGCCUCAAGGGAAGAGUUGAAAGGUUGGUAUUGAUACCUCUUCCCAUAUUAUCAUAUAACCUCUUCCCAUAUUAUCAUAUACCUCUUCCCCAAACAAUUAUAUAAUUUUUUUUUGUAUGCGAACAUUUUAGCAUAUGAUUCACUCUCUUUGUUACCUCUACAUAUUUCUAAUUCAUUCACGUUAUUAGUUCACUUUCCCAUUAUCUUAUAUAUUUUAGAUUGACGAUCUAAUACAUGGUUAACUAGUUCAAUUCAAGAACCUGUCAUAUAAUUGGUUCCUUAUGCAAAAAGCUUUUAUUUGUUUUUUUUUUCUUUUUUCAGGCAUCUGUUAUAACCCUUUCAAUGCGUUAGUGUGUUAGAGUUAAUAUGUAUAUGAUGCAUAAUUUUACUACUUAAAAUUUAGAUAGUUAAAUUCAAUAAAUAAACUUGCAAGCGCACAAGGUUAAUGCAUUAUAACUAGGGGUGCAAGUUGGAUUGGAAAAUCCGAUUCCGACCGAUUCCGGUCCGAAUAUUUCCAAAAAAAUCCGGCUCCGACAAAUCCGAAUUCCGUAAAUGCCGAAAUCCGAAAUUUCCGAAAAAAAUUGGAUCGGAUUCGGAAUGUACAUGGAACUUCCGAAAUUUCCGAAAUUUUCGAUCCGAAAUAUUCCAAAAUGUUCCGAACUCAUUCCGAUCCAAUAAUUCCGAUAUAUUCCUAAUAUAUUCCGAUUUUAAAAAUUCCGAAUAUUUGAAAAACAUUCCGAUCGAGAAAUUCCGAUUUAUUCCGAAAUAUUUUGAAUUAAUCCUACAAAAGUUUAGACAACAAUCAAUAUAUUUAAUUUAUAUGCAAGACAUUUAAUGCAUUCCCACAAUUUUUAAUUUGUCCAUAGUUCUGUCACAACCAACCAAAGACACAAGUUUUCUUUAAUAUUAUUGGCGAACAUUAUAUAUACAUUAUACAUACAUAAUGAAAAAAAUUUAAGUACAUUUAAAAAUAUUAGUAAAAGGAAAAAAAAAAAUUUGUAAUGCAACCAAUUUUGAAUUGAUCUAAAAUACGUAGUGUAUUGAUUUUUUUUUCUUUUAAUUCUAACUCAAUUUCUUGAAUAGGACUCAUUGGGGUAUGAGGUCAUGCAUUUAAUUAUAAACUUAUUUUCUUUAUAAUCAAUUGCCCAGGUGCUAAUGUAGUACUAUUUUCUUAAUAAUGUGAACAUAAACAAUAGGGGGUUGCAAAAAAGUUAGGUACAUCAAUAGGUAACUUACCCUUAAAAAAGGUAGGACAUUGACAUGUUGUAUCAAAUACAAAUUGGUAUCAAACUCUUGUUCAUGCAUAAAUCAUGAUUAUGAAAAUUAAAAAAUAGCGAUGAUCAUAGAAACACAUUAGGAUUGAACCCUAAUAGUAAGUAUGUAGUAGUAUCCAAGAUAAAGUUUAUAUAACAUUAUUUUUUAUCAAGUAUAUUCACAUGAUAUAUAUAUAUAUGUAAAAUAUAAUAUAAUAUAAAUUUGUAGAUUUUUUCCUGUUUGGUUGGCUUAAUCAUGAUUCACAAGAAAAUUUCAAAAUUUGAUUUCCAAAAUUAUUAUCCGAAAAUGCCGAAACUAUUAUCCGAAAAUUCCGAAAAUAUUAACUUCCGAAAAUUCCGAUAAUGCCGAAAAUUCCGCAUCAGAAUAGAGUUAGUACAUUCCGAAAUUUCGGAAUCGGACUCGGAACUAAAAGGUAAUUCCGAAAAUCUUCGGAACGGAAUUCGGAACAGUGGUUUCCGAUCCGUUCCGGCCGAAAAACACCCCUUAUAACCAAGGCAAGUACAAGGUCGUUCCCACAGAGACUGAAUUAAUUCCCAAGUUGUUGUGAAUUAUAAACUAAUUUAAAUCUUAAAUUAUUCUAGGCACCUAACUAAUAAAAUAAAAACUAAUGACUCAACUAAAACUUAAUAAAGGAGUUUUGAAAAAAUUUCUUCAAAAGAACGUUGAAAACAAGAAAAUUAAAAAACAAGAUAACAAAGAAAAACGUGAACUAAAUAAGUUUGUGAAAGAUUUUAAAGAAGCUUACCAAGACAACAAUUUCACCACAAUUCCUCUUAUCCAAACCUUAACAUGCAAAUUAUCAAAAUUCCAAAGUUAUGUUGAUGAUUAGCUAUCCAAAAUUAUGAUUAUCUCUUUUCACAGCAAUUAACCAUUUCUUCUUACACGCAAUGUAUCAUUGGCGUGAGACAUAAAUAUAAACAUAUAAAAAGACCAUAGGUUCGAUGAGAACUUCACACAAUCACACAAACCCUUAAGAGUAUGGUGUUUACCUUAGGCGUUGUUUACCUUAAGCUAUUGACUUUGAUCAAGUGAUUGUGAAUUUCGGUGAGGAAUAUCUCCCAAGUAAGUUCUUUUCUUGACUCAGACAGGUGAUGACUUUAUAAUUUCCCAUAGUAAAACUGGUAAGUCUAACCAAAAUAAAUGUUGAAAAUAAAACAAACUAGUUCAAAGAGAACCAUUUAUUACACAAUCAAACAAAAGAGAACUGUCAAGUCCGGAAGGACAUCAGAACAUUAGAAUUCAAUUUCUGCUUGGAUUGUUAUCUGUGACUUAGGCUGGACUGGAUAUAUUUGUGCUGGAAUUGCACGUCAGCACCUUCAAUUAACGGGGAUCAGCUGGAAAUCGAUAUGAAUGUUGAGAUUGACUGAGCUAUAAUCAGAUUUAACCGUGGAGAGCCUUGUCGAGUGGGCAGAACUGAGAUCUCCUCGGUCUGGACUGGAUUGGAAGCGGCUGGAUUGGCAAUUGCUGACCUGGAAUCACACUUCAGUACCUGUUUUGCUUGGCUAAGGGUCACCUGAGGACUAUUCUGGUGAUUUUGGGACAUCAAGAUGUCUCUGAAAAUUUGUUGAGGUUUUCAUAUUAUGAAAAAUCCAAACUCCACUUUCACACCCAAAAAAAAAAAAAAAAAAAAAAAAACUCAAACUCAACUUGGUUCAUCUGUUUUGAACCAAAUUUGUAACGAGAGAAAUCUCGUUUCCUUUGUGAACUGCUUCUUUGAACUGAAUUGAAGUCAGAAAUCUGAGUUCUGCCUGUUUUGUUUGAAGCUGGAUGGCUUUUACAAACCAAAUAGCUUGAUUGCUUCUCAGUUUGGAGACUUUUGGGACCGUAUGAUCUUGCUUGAUUUUUGUCAGUAUGACUGAGAGUUUUUGUCUUGAUUGGAUUUUUAGCUGUCGUUUAUCCAAUUCACAUCCUCAUAUAUUUAUAGGAAAUCUGCAUGAGUGAUGAUUCCUUAAUAUCUGGAGGUUUAGUUAUUCUGACAAGAAAAACCCACGUCAAGAGUCAGUUUUGUGAUGAUCAGUUUUGAGUUUCUUGACAACCAACUCUCCGACUUCUUGUCCAUCCCCUUGCAAACUGAAUUUGUACUGAGGGACCUUCAUGAGUAUGGGAAGGAAACUUAGCCUGUUUUUCUAGCAUUUAAUGGUUAUGGGGAGUGGUUUUUGAUUUCACCUUUCUACCAACUCCCCCAAAUAUCCUCAGUCUGUUUCCUGUUGACGUCUUGUCAUUAGAAUCAUGUGGGUAUUGAGGGGAAAGACUCCUUCCCUGUAUCUGUUGAUCUGAUUUUGAAUUGGUAAUCAACGAUGAUGAUCAAACCUUGAACCUUUAGGAAAAAAAUCUAGAAGCUGGGUAUGAAUUAAACAAAUUAAAUUUGGCUUUUUCAGAUUAAAUCACAAUUUAAUGGCAAUUAACCUUUAUCUUGUGAAGUGUAAUUUCGUAAUUGGUUUCAUUCCAUUUUUCUUCUUUCAAAAUGGCUUAGGCUGGCUCCCAAUUUUGGUAAAACAUAGCCCAAACCUGUAUCAUCAAUCUAGCCCAAUAGCCAGAUAGGCCGGCGCAUAGAAAUUAGGCCUAAACAAGCGCAUUCAUGAAUUUAAUCACAAGAAGCAAAACUCAUAUUAAGCAUGGCGUAUACCCUAACAUGCAUCAAAUUACUUAACCAAAAACCUAGAUGGUAGCUAAGCUUCAAGAUCAUUAGUUAAGAAAAUAAGCACAAUGAUUAAAUUUUAACAACAUGGAAAUUCUAAUAGCAUGACAUAACUAAGCUUUGAAUAAUUAGAAAAGAUUUACAUUAUGUCUUAGUAAAAGAAAAUUGGUUACUCAUAGUCAUGAUAACAAAGCAAAAAUAAAACAUGGAGAAAGAGAUAAGAAAAACCCUUAAAGUUUAGAGGCACGAUCGUUCUUCCUUACUCCACUAGUUAAUUCUAAAAUUUCUCCCAUCUCCCCGUCUAAAAAAAGAAACCUAAAACUAGUUAGACUGAGCCUAAACAAGUGGCCUUACACGAAGACUUGAUUUCCAAGUCAGUUCCUAACUAGAAAAUGUAAUUAAAACUAAUUUUCCUAAAACUUCCAGGAAACUGCAUGUGAUCCUCUUUGCGAAUGCAAUUUGAACACAUUCCUGACCUCCGAAAAUUGCGUACGUCAGUAUGUUCUGGAUGUCUUCUUUUCAGCCAUAUUACGUCUACACUAUGACCUUAAGACGAAUUACGCCCCACACUAGUGCUUAUGGUUCACUAGCGUUCGCCUCCCAGGAUACAACGACUCCCCUCCUUAUGAAAGAAGCACUGCAAUUCACAAGGAACUUUGAACCAAAAUUAUGCAGGAAACUCUCUUUAUGCAAACUCUAAUGCUCUCUAUAUAUGAAAGUAUGUAUCUAGAGAAUUGAUUGAAUGAAUAAAACUGCAGGAGGAUUGCUCUAUUUAUAGAUGAUGAAAUACCCUUUCCAAAAAGGUAUCCCAAUCUGAAAAGGCAAACAGUGCAUCCUUUGGCCUUGAAGAGUUGUCACCCCAAACAAUGUAUCCCUUAGUUUGAAGAGUUGUCACCCCCCAAUUGAAGAUGUCUUUACCCAAGGGUCAUGUCUUUAACCCAAUGGAUUUUAUUAAUUUCCAUUCAAAUAGAAAAUUAAUAUUAAAAAUAAUAUUAAAUUUCUCACAAUCCCCCACAUGAAUGGAAAUUAGUUUCAACAAUAUGCAAAUGAUAAUGCAGACUUAGAGAGAGUUCCUAUUAGAAGAAUAUGGCAUCUGGAUAGGUAGCUUUUGGCUUUGAACCUUCCAUAGUGAAGUACUAUCGGAUUUACUUGGCUAAUCAGUGAACGUGAUGUCUUGAACUGUUCAGCCGUUUGUGUAAACCCAGACAAUAAUACUCACACAAUACCCUUCUAGACAUAUCUGGUUCGAUCGGUUGUGCCCGUUUUGGCCCUGAGCAACUCCUGGCAUUCAUAAGUGCUUUAGAGAAUUUAGCCCUAAAAAUUCUCAUGGAAACGGCCCUAUUUCACACUUAUAUAGGUGAUUUCCUAUUGGUAAUAUCCUCUCAUAUCUUACUCGGAUAAUCAAGGUAUAGGAAUCAUUAAAAGCAUAGCUUAACCUAAACACAUUUCAUACAACACUGUAUCAUCAUAGGAUAUGGGUAGGAGAAUAUAUCUCUGCAGUGUUAUUUUUGAGUUAUCAUAAUUUAGUUGUCCCUUUUGAACCUAGAUCUUGGGAUCUCCAGUCAACUAGGUUGGGUUUCCACUAUGACUACUCAUUUGACAUGGGCUUUAACCCCAUUCCCCUCGAUGAUCUAUAAACUUGUUCUCCGUUCAAACCUUUAGUAAAUGGAUCCGCCAAAUUAUCUCUUGACUUUAUGUAGUCAAUGGUAAUUAUACCACUGGAGAGCAGUUGCUUAACGGUGUUGUGUCUUCGACGUAUAUGUCGAGACUUGCCGUUGUACAUAUUGUUUUGUGCCCUUGCAAUUGUAGAUUGACUAUCACAAUGUAUACAUAUAGCAGGCACAGGUUUUGGCCAACAUGGAAUAUCUUCUAAGAAAUUACGUAGCCAUUCAGCUUCCUCACCAGCUUUAUCUAAUGCUAUGAACUCAGAUUCCAUAGUAGAUCUAGCUAUAAUAGUUUGCUUAGUAGAUCUCCAUGAUAUAGCCGCACCUCCAAUUGUAAAGACAUAUCCACUUGUAGAAUUGGAGUCUUUUGCAUCAGAUAUCCAAUUAGCAUCACUAUAUCCUUCAAGUACAGCUGGAUAUCUUGUAAAAUGCAAUCCAACAUUUUUGGUGUAUCUUAAGUAUCUUAGAACUCUGACUAUAGCUUUCCAAUGAUCCCUUCCAGGAUUACUAGUGUAUCUGCUUAAUCUAUUAACAGAGUAAGCUAUAUCAGGCCUUGUGCAAUUCGUAAGAUACAUGAGACUACCAAUAAUACGAGCAUAUUCUAUUUGUGAUACACCAUGACCUAUAUUCUUCACAAGAUUAAGACUUGGAUCAUAAGGAGUUCUUACUGGACUAGUAUCAUACUUGCUAAACUUCGCAAGUAUUUUCUCAAUAUAAUGUGAUUGGGAUAAAACUAGUCCAUCAGAUGUUCUAGAAAUUUUAAUUCCUAGAAUCACAUCUGCUACUCCCAAAUCUUUCAUGUCAAAAUUUUUGGUCAACAUUUUCUUGGUAGAUUUAAUCAUCCCAAUAUUGCUACCAAUAAUUAACAUAUCAUCAACAUAAAGACAAAUAAUGACAAAACCAUCUUGAGUGCUUUUCAUAUAAACACAUUUAUCACACUCAUUGAUCUUGAAACCAUUUGACAUUAAUGCAUUGUCAAAUUUCAGAUGCCAUUGUUUUGGUGCUUGCUUUAACCCGUACAAGGACUUAACAAGCUUACAUACUUUCUUUUCUUGUCCAGGAACAAUAAACCCUUCAGGUUGUUCCAUAUAAAUUUCCUCAUCUAAAUCACCAUUUAGAAAGGCCGUUUUCACAUCCAUUUGAUGUAUCUCAAGAUUAUGCAAUGCUGCAAUUGCAAUUAACAUUCUUAUUGAUGUUAUUCUCGUAACUGGUGAAUAUGUGUCAAAAUAAUCCAAUCCUUCUUUUUGUUUAUAACCUUUGACAACAAGCCUUGCCUUAUAUUUGUCAAUUGAUCCAUCAGCUUUCAUCUUUUUCUUAAAAAUCCAUUUAUAACCCAAUGGUUUAUUUCCAGGAGGAAGAUCCACAAGUUCCCAAGUGUGAUUCUGCAUGAUGGAUUCAACUUCGGCAUUAAUAGCCUCUUUCCAUAAAAGAGCUUCAGGAGAAGUCAUGGCUUCUUUGUAAGUUUGAGGCUCAUUUUCUAACAAAUAAGUUAGAAACUCAGGACCAAAGGAUUUGGUUGUCUUAGCUCUCUUACUACGCCUGGGUUCAUGUCCAGGUUCUGGUUCUGCAGUCUCUUGGUCUAUAUUUUCUUGAUGACUUUCUUGGUUAUCGCUAUUAACAGUAUCUAAGGUUCUUUUAAGUGUAUUUCUUUCUUGUGCAUCCUUAUAAGGAAAUACAUUUUCAAAGAAAGAUACAUUCCUUGAUUCAAUAAUCGUAUUCACAUGUACAUCUAAUAUAUCAGAUUUGUGUACAAGGAAACGAUAUGCACUACUGUUAAUGGCAUAACCGAUAAAUAUACAGUCAAUAGUUUUGGGUCCUAUCUUAACCUUUUUAGGGGUUGGAACCGCAACUUUAGCUAGACACCCCCACACUUUCAAGUAUGUAUAGGAAGGCUUGUGACCUUUCCAUAACUCAUAAGGUGUUUUGUCUAACUUUUUAUGUGGCAAUUUGUUGAGAAUGUAAUUAGCAGAAAGUAAAGCUUCCCCCCACAAAUUCUGGGGUGCUCCAGAACUUACUAGCAACGCAUUCAUCAUUUCUUUUAAAGUACGAUUUUUACGUUCAGCAAUACCAUUUUGCUGAGGUGAGUAUGGGGCAGUUGUUUGGUGAAUAAUUCCGUGUUGGGAACAAAACUCACCAAAAGGUGAUUCAUAUUCACCACCUCUAUCACUUCUUAAUUUCUUUAUUUUCCUGCUAAGUUGAUUCUCAACUUCACUUUUAUAAUGUUUGAACAUUUCUAUGGCCUCAUCUUUGCUUCUUAGCAAAUAUACUUGACAAUAUCUUGUACAAUCAUCAAUAAAAGUAAUAAAAUACUUUUUACCACCUCUAGUUUGUACAAAUUUCAAGUCACAAAUAUCACUGUGAAUUAAUUCUAGAGGUUCUGUACUUCUUUCUAUAGACUGGAAUGAUGAUCUAGUUAGUUUUGCUUCAACACAGGUUUCACAUUUAUUAUGGAAAUCAAUAUGAAACUUAGGUAUUAGUUCCAUGUUAAUUAAUUGACGCAAUUUGUCAUAAUUAACAUGCCCUAAUCUUCCAUGCCACAAAUCAGAUAACUCAAGCAUAUAAGCAGAACUAACUUUAUUAUUAUUAACUUUGUGUACAACAGUCAUUACAUUCAUCUUGAAGAGUCCAUCAGUAAGGUACCCUUUCCCCACAUACAUUCCAUUCUUUGUAAGUACAAACUUAUCAGACUCAAAGACUAGUUUGAACCCAUUCUUGCUAAGCAGUGAUCCAGAAACCAAGUUCUUCCGGAUCUCAGGGACGUGAAGUACAUUAUUGAGAGUGACUUCCUUUCCAGAUGUCAUCUUUAGAACUAUUUUCCCUUGGCCAUGAAUUUUGGAGGUGGAGGAGUUUCCCAUGAAUAAAGGCUCUCCUUGAUCAUUUGCUGCAUAGGUAGAAAACAUCUUCCUUUCAGAACAUAUGUGGCGUGUAGCUCCAGUAUCCACCCACCAUUCCUUGGUGUUGCCCACCAAGUUCACUUCAGACACAACUGCAGAAAGAUUAAUAUCUGACAAGUCAGUUGAAAGCUUGUCUUCUUCAGUCAUGUGUGCCUCAGUCUUGCCCUUUUUCUUUUGGUUGCCUUGUCCAUUUCUACUUCGGCAAUCCACAGCUCGAUGGCCUUGCUUGUUGCAAUUGAAACACUUUCCCUUAAACUCCUUGGAUUUCUUGGAGUUCCCUUGACUUGAGCCUUCUCCAGAGUGCUUCCUCUUCUUGUUAUUUCUUGACUCUUUUUCCACUAUGUUAGCCUUAGCUUCCAUUAUGGAUCCAGACUUUUUGUCAGCACGGCGAUUGUCCUCUUCGAUCCUUAGCCUUACUAUCAAAUCCUCAAGUCCCAUCUCCUUACGCUUAUGCUUAAGGUAGUUUUUGAAAUCCUUCCAAGAGGGUGGUAAUUUUUCAAUGACAGCAGCCACUUGAAAAGACUCACUCAAUUCCAUCUUUUCUGCAUGUAUCUCAUGUAGAAUGAGUUGCAGUUCUUGGACUUGACUUAUGACAGUCUUGGAGUCUACCAUCUUGUAGUCAAGAAACCGACCGACAAUGAAUUUCUUCAUUCCUGCAUCUUCGGUCCGAUAUUUCUUAUCUAGUGACUCCCAUAAAGCCUUGGCCGUCUGAAUUGGACAAUACACAUUGUAUAGUGCAUCACUUAAACCAUUUAGGAUGUAGUUCCUGCAAAGGAAAUCCGACUGGUUCCAUGCAUCAGAAGCAGCCACUGUUUCUAUUGUAUCACCAGGUCCAGGAGGAUCUGCUUUCAGGAUAUGAGCCAAAUUCAAUGUGGUGAUGUAGAACAACAUCUUUUGUUGCCAUCUCUUAAAAUCCAUCCCAUUAAAUUUUUCAGGCUUCUCUGCAUGAUUAUGGGAUGAAGGCAACACUACAGCAGGUGCACUUGUCUUCACAGAAGGACCCACUUUCUGUAUCUCAUUCGACAUUUUCCUUAAUUGAGUGAACAAUCUCAAUGUCAAUAAACAAAUAUAUGGUAGUCUUUAAUAGAUAAAUAAUGAAUCACAAUAGUGUGUUACAACAAAACACACAGAAAUUAAUAAUACAAUACCGAUAAGAAGUAUAGCAAACGCAAUAUGCAAUUUAUUCAAGAUAACAGUAAUACAAAAUGCUAUAUUUCACAGAUACAGUGAAUUUAAUGUAUGUAGAUAAAUAUAAUCAGAAUUUAUAAACAGAAUAAUAAAAAAUGAUGCCAAACAGAAAAUAGAAUCCAAAUAAAUAAAUAAAAACGAUGCUGUAUAUUUAGACUUUGUCUAACAAAAGAAACAGAAGGCAAUCAGUGUUUGUGGCAAUCUUUAUUGAAUGGUCCUGAUUAUUAUAACUUAGCUUUGGUUAACUUCGAAUUGUAUAAAACAAAGGAAACUAACAGGAAACCAAUUCAAUAGAAUAAACAACUAAUAAAAAGAUGUUUUGCUGUUUGUACCAAAAUCAAACCUUUUGCAGCGUUAACAAUUAAAUGCACAAACACAGAUUAAUGUAUAUAGCAAUUAACACAUAUACUAAUUCGUCUUAAGAUUGUAGGAAAAAAUAGUGCUAAAUUGCUAUAAAAUAAACAAAUAAACACUGCAAACAAAACAAAUUUUUACAACAGUAGUAUGUAAUUAAAAGAACCUUAAUUGAGUCGAGGCAAGUGUUGGACACUCUGACCUUAAGACGAAUUACGCCCCACACUGGUGCUUAUGGUUCACUAGCGUUCGCCUCCCAGGAUACAACGACUCCCCUCCUUAUGAAAGAAGCACUGCAAUUCACAAGGAACUUUGAACCAAAAUUAUGCAGGAAACUUUCAUAUAUAUCUAGAGAAUUGAUUGAAUGAAUAAAACUGCAGGAGGAUUGCUCUAUUUAUAGAUGAUGAAAUACCCUUUCCAAAAAGGUAUCCCAAUCUGAAAAGGCAAACAGUGCAUCCUUUGGCCUUGAAGAGUUGUCACCCCAAACAAUGAAGAUGUCUUUACCCAAGGGUCAUGUCUUUAACCCAAUGGAUUUUAUUAAUUUCCAUUCAAAUAGAAAAUUAAUAUUAAAAAUAAUAUUAAAUUUCUCACACAUUUGUCUUCUCUAAAUUUGCAUUUCCUUUUCUUAUAUUGAGAACCAUCCCAAACAUGCAGGAUGUCUUUUGUCAUUAGCCCUUAUUUCUUUUACCGAACUCCAUACUUUGGUAGGUAGUCAAUACCCUUAUUAUAUGCGAAUAAUAAAUUUCAAAGAUACUUUACACUUUAAAGGUUAUUUAGAUAAAGCGAUUUCAACUCUAGAAGAUAUUAUAAAGUUUAAUUGUUUGUUUAAACUAUUUAAUUGGAUAGUUACUUUAAUACUUGUAUGCUUACACACACACACACAAAACGUGUUGGAGUUAUAGUUGGAGUCCCACACAAUUUUAGUAGGGAGCUUCACAAAUAAAAACCCUCUAAACAGGUUUUUUUUUUUUCGGUUUGAAUGUUUCAUAUUUUGAGCUCUCUCUCUCUCUCUAUGUUUUAUUGAUUAAUAAUACAUUUUUUAUAACUUUAAUUCAGUGAUGAAACCAUGAAAGAAAGAAAACUCUAACUAUUUCAUUAAUAAGAAGGAAUCAAUACAAACAAACAAUCAAUGAUGAAACAUUGUUGUACUAUACACUCUGGUCGUACCAAAACAAUUUCCGCACAAAACAGGGCCAAAAUACAUGGAAGAAGAAACGAGGGAAUACCCAAGAAAGAGCUGAACACGUCUAAUGACAAAAAGGUUAAGAGGAAAAACAUGAAAUAUACUGCCAAAGUGAAAUGACCAAGACCAACAAAAUGAAUGAAAUUUCAAGGCAAAAGUGUCUAGUCCAAGCAAGUUCCCAACUUUCGUUUUAUUUUCUAGGGAGGAAGAUAUUUACAUGACAUCUUGAAGCUGUCCACUUUAGUAAGGAAUCAAAUCAAUACGAACAAACACUUUAGUAAGGAAAUCCACGUCACCCCACUAUAGAAAGGAAAUAAUGAGAAAGGACAAGUGUUUUCCACUUGGUGGGAUGCGUUCUCUUUCUUCUCACAAAAGUGAUUGUGUCCAGCUUACUGAUGCCGAGGGAAUUGAACACAUAAUUGCUGAGUUAAUGGCUUGACUUGAGUUUUAAGUAAUUGCAUUAAUACUUACCUGCGUAGCUUCCUGGAACCUCUAUCUGUACUGAUUUUUCUUUUCUUUCUAAUCAUUCUAGUUCCACAAUCCCGUGCUCAGAGAAGAUUUCUUGAAACCACUACUUUCCAAUGGCAUCGAGCAGCCAAAGGGCCUUCACUUCAGCUACUGCAGUUUGUUCAUGGAAAUACGAAGUGUUUUUGAGUUUCAGGGGUGAAGACACUCGCAGGGGUUUUACAGACUAUUUAUACAAACAGUUGGACUGGCGAGGAAUUAGAACUUUCAGGGAUGAUCCAGAUCUUCAAAGAGGGGCAGAUAUCAAUCCGGAGCUUCUGACCGCGAUUGAACAAUCAAGGUUUGCAAUCAUAGUUCUUUCAACAAACUAUGCUUCGUCAAGUUGGUGUUUGCGUGAACUAACCCAUAUUGUUCAGUCCAUGAAAGAGAAGGAGAGAAUUUUCCCAAUCUUUUAUGAUGUGGAUCCCUCUGAUGUACGACAUCAACGGGGGAGUUUUGGGACAGCCCUCGUUAACCAUGAAAGGAAUUGUGGUGAAGACAGAGAGGAGGUGCUUGAGUGGAGAAAUGCUUUAAAAAAAGUUGCUAAUCUCGCUGGGUGGAAUUCAAAGGAUUAUAGGUAAGCAAGCAUGAAGCAACAACUGACACAUAGCUAAUAAGACCAAAUCUUGAAUAUUGCAUUUCAGUUUUGCCAUGCACUUUAUCUACGAUAUAUUCAUAUAACCUCAUCUGAUGAUUUUUUUCUUCUUCUUUUACUUCUAGGUAUGAUACAGAGCUUAUCACAAAAAUUGUUGAUGCAGUGUGGGAUAAAGUGCAUCACACAUUUUCAUUGUUAGAUUCCUCAGACAUAUUAGUCGGACUUGAUACUAAACUAAAGGAAAUAGAUCUGCAUUUAGAUACAAGCGCAAAUGAUGUGCGCUUUGUGGGGAUAUGGGGGAUGGGCGGAAUGGGUAAGACAACCCUAGCUAGAUUAGUUCAUGAGACAAUUUCUCAUAGUUUUGAAGGUAGCAGCUUUCUUGCAAAUGUCAGAGAGGUUUAUGCAACACAUGGUCUAGUUCCUUUACAGAAACAGCUUCUUUCCAAUAUCUUGGGGGAAACAAAUAUACAAGUUUAUGAUGCUUAUAGUGGAUUUACUAUGAUAAAGAGGUGUCUAUGUAAUAAAAAGGUUCUUCUCAUUCUUGAUGAUGUGGAUCAAUCAGACCAACUGGAAAUGUUGAUCAGAGAAAAAGACUGCUUUGGUUUGGGAAGUAGAAUCAUCAUUACAACUAGAGAUGAACGUUUGUUCGUCGAUCAUGGGAUAGAGAAAGUAUAUAAGGUCAUGCCAUUAACCCAAGACGAAGCUCUUUAUCUCUUUAGUAGGAAGGCCUUUAGAAAAGAUGACCUUGAAGAAGAUUAUCUAGAACUGUCUAAAAAUUUCAUAAACUACGCAGGAGGUCUUCCAUUAGCUCUUAAAACUUUGGGGUCUUUUUUGUAUAAAAGAAGUCGAGAUGAAUGGAAGAGUGCACUAGAUAAACUGAAGCAAGCUCCUGACAGAAAAAUUUUUCAAAUUUUGAAAAUAAGCUAUGAUGGACUAGAGGAGAUGCAGAAGAAAAUUUUUCUUGAUGUUGCAUGUUUCCAUAAGCUUUAUGACAAGGAAGAAGUGAUUGAAAUACUAGACAGUUGUGGUUUUGUUGGCACUCGUAUUGUGAUACAUGUUCUUAUUGAGAAAUCUCUCUUGUCUAUUUCAAACACGCAUCUGUCCAUUCAUGAUUUGAUACAAGAAAUGGCAUGGGAGAUUGUUCGUCAAGAGUCUUUUGACGAGCCAGGUGGUCGCAGUCGCUUGUGGCUUCACAGUGACAUCAUUCAUGUACUCACGAACAAUACGGUAAGAAGUUGCACAAAAAAUAAAAUACCAAAACAUUGGAUAACAUACUAUAAUUCCAUUAAUAACGAUAAGAGAGACUUGAUUAUGACACUAACUUUUCUUUUAUUCCUAUGUACAAGGGAACGGAAGCCAUUGAAAGCAUAGUCCUAUGCUUGCGUGAAUUUGAAGCGGCACACUGGAAUCCUGAAGCAUUCUCUAAGAUGUGUAAACUAAAGUUGCUCAAGAUUAAUAAUUUGAGCCUUUCUUUGGGCCCAAAGUAUCUUCCCAAUUCCUUAAGGUUUCUGGAGUGGAGUUGGUAUCCCUCCAAAUGUCUGCCCCCAAGUUUUCAACCUAAUGAACUUGCUCAACUUAGUCUGCAGCAGAGCAAAAUUGAUCACCUUUGGAAUGGAAUAAAGGUAGACCUUUGUAGAGCUAGUUCUUUUCAAUUUCAAUAAAUUUUGCAAGGUUCUUGGAAGUUAUUAUUAUUAUUUUUUUGUCUGAGUUCUUGGAAGUUAAUUAAUCUACCAUUUUCAUGUUUUGUACAGUACAUGGUGAAGUUGAAAUCUAUUGAUCUUAGUUACUCCGAGAACUUGACAAGGACCCCAGAUUUCACAGGUACUCAGAACCUUGAGAGGCUGGUUUUUGAAGGUUGUACUAAUCUUGUUAAGAUUCAUCCAUCCAUUGCCUCUCUCAAAAGACUAAGAGUUUUGAAUUUUAAAAACUGUAAAAGCAUUAAGAGUCUCCCAAGUGAAGUAGAACNNNNNNNNNNNNNNNNNNNNNNNNNNNNNNNNNNNNNNNNNNNNNNNNNNNNNNNNNNNNNNNNNNNNNNNNNNNNNNNNNNNNNNNNNNNNNNNNNNNNAUUUUUCGAAGCUUUCUUAAGCUCACUGCUGUGAGCAAAUGCCGUCAUCAAAUAUACAUUCCAUGGCGAGUUGAAGGAGCUGAUAUGAGUGGAAUUCUAUGAGAGAUCCCCCAUCUUCCCUAGUUCCUGUGAAAGAUAUUGAACUGCCAAGAUCAUGGCAUUCUUUCUUCACUUUUGGCUUAUUUCCAAGAAAGAAUCCCCACCCUGUGAGUCUGGUGUUAGCUUCCUUAAAAGAUUUACGCUUUUUGAAGCGUCUAAAUCUGAAUGACUGCAAUCUUUGUGAAGGAGCAAUACCUGAAGAUAUUGGUUUAUUGUCCUCUUUAGAAGAAUUAAAUCUUGAUGGAAACCAUUUUGUUAGCCUUCCUGCAAGCAUCAGUGGGCUUUCUAAUCUUUGGAACAUCACAUUGAAGAAUUGCAAAAGGCUUCAAAAAUUGCCAAGCCUUCAAUUAAACGGACUACUAGAUAUGUGUGUAAACACUGAUAAUUGUACUUCCUUGAAAAUAUUCCCAGAUCCAACAUCGACGUGCAAUGGUUUAAGUUCUAUGUCGAUUAGUUCUUCCAAUUGCUUCAAUUUGAUUGGCCAUCAAGGUUCCAGUUCCAUAAUAUUUUUAAUGCUGAAGAAAUUCCUUCAGGUACUUCUCCUUCUUCCUCCUUCCUCUUCCCUCUUUAGUUGUGUAGUACUAUUUAUAUCCUUCCUUUGGUGCAGGAAAUUCCUCGUUCUUUGGGCAUCAUCGAUAUUAUAAUUCCUGGAAGUGAAAUUCCUGAGUGGUUCAAUAAUCAAAGUGUGGGAGACUCAGUAAUUGAGCCACUACCUUCGGAUUCUAAUAGCACGUGGGUGGGGUUUGCUUUUUGUGCUCUAUUUGUAGCUACUGCUACGAAACAUAAUUCAAUCACUUUUCGUUGCCUUUGUGAUGAUUUAAACACCCCUGCGGGCCUGGGUUAUACUGUUGCCAUAGACUAUGUAGCGUCCGAUCACCUUUGGUUGAUCCUCCUGUCUAGGCAACAAUUCUUUUGGAAACCAAGACAGAGACCUGAGACCUAUUGGAGGGAGAAAUGCCAUGAUCAGAAGAUGAGGUUUCAUUUCGAAACAAGAUCUUAUCCAGGAGAGAAGACGGGGGUGAAGGUGAAGAAGUGUGGAGUCCGCACACUAUACGAACAAGACGCGGAAGAGCUCAACCGAACAAUGAAACAAUAUUCCAACAGAAAUAAUUCUUUUUAUGAGGACGUUACAGAUUAUGAUUUUGACAAAUCAGACAAGGUACAAGGUGCCAUCACUAAGCGAACACGUGAACAGUACUGUACUGAGGCAGGACCAAGCGGUAUUGGUACCCUUGGCAAAGAAUCACUCUGCAAAAGAAUGAAAGAAGACUAAUCAGAUCCAAAUUUGAUUGGGGGGGGAGAGUUCCGUCAUCCAGAAGCCUAACGGGCGCAUUUUACCGACUAGAGCAUUUAAACAUGGUUGGGAAACAUCUAUGUAUGCUUAAAUUGUUUCUUUCUUAGGCUAAAUCUCACAUGUGCUGUAUAAAUUCAAUAGGUUAAUUAGUGAAGCCCUAUUUGAGAGAUUGACAUUAACUGGGGCGUGGACAGGUCAAUCAACUCCAAAAUGACUUGUGCUGCAAUUCCAGUACUUCAUUUUUCCUUAUACAAAAACUUUUUUUUUUUUUUUUUUUUUCAGGCCUGUUAUAACCCUUUCAAAUGACUCAUCAAAUGUUACAUUCAUCCAAAUAGUGACUUAAUGACAUUCAAAAAUAGUUUCUCAAAUUUAAUUUUGCUUCCAAACUAAUGGUGUCAUGAACUUGAGCUUAAUAUCAUCAACCGACCUUAUUUGCACACAUAUUCAAAGAAAUUAUGUUUAAAUUUUUAUUUUUAUUUUUUGGCAUAUAGAGAGAAGAGGAGUUGAACUUAGAACCUUGAAUGUACGGAUUAAUGCUCUUAAAUAAGACAAAAUGGUCAAUAGGAUCUAGCCCAAUGGAAAGGGCUUUGACUUAUGUGUGUGAAAAUCCUCCACCUCCAAUAUCGCUUGAAUGGAAAAAAAGACAAAAUUAUAAAACGAUGCUUCUACAUAUAUAUAAUAUACAUAGUGGUUUUAAAUUGGACAAAAUUGAGGUCGUACUUAGUAUAUAUUUGUACCCAAAAAAUAAAAAUCCACAAAGACUAUCUAUCCCCUUGGACGAAAAUUUCCCAAUUACUAUCCCCUUACUAAAGCCACAAAGACUUCAGCCCGUAGACGUUCCCAAUUGAAGGUACCUCCCUUUUAUCUUCCAUUAUUUGUUUUAGUUAUUUAUUUAUUUAUUGGUCUUUUUUUAUUUUUUUUUAUUUUCAUAACUCUUAAAAAUUCUGGAUCCGGUGUAGGUGUAGAAGUGUUUUCCUUUGAAAUACACUAAGAAACUACCGUUCGAUAAACCUUGUGCAGACACAACAAACGUCAUCCUUCACCGUUGGAUCCCACAAACAGAAUUAGGAUUUGUGUUUCUGAGGAUUCGAAUUAGGGUUUGACGGCAAAUUGCAAAUCGAAUUUAUCCGACACUACAAUCACCACGUUUGUAUCGAUGCUGGUAAAAGGAAGAAAGGUUUCUGGGCGGGGAGAGGCCGUGGCGGCGAACUACGCGUUCGGGCCGCUCGAAGAUGACGUAAUCAUCAAGCACAGACUUCUCACUCGAACCACAACCACAAGAGGCGAACCCCCAUUGAAGAAGCUCCAGAAGAAGUUCACAUCCCUGUUCGUCGAGCUCGACAAGAACGAGGACAACUAUGGCGACUGCGACAAGCUGGCCAAAGCUUUCCUCCAAGAGCUCAGCACCUUCGAGAUUCCGCUCCUCAAGAGCAAAGCGGUUGUGGAUGCGAAUCUCAGAGAGAAGCACAAUUUCGACGAGUUGAGGGAGAGGAGAUAAAUCGGCAGAUAGUGCACGCGCAGACCGACAUUGAAUUGCUGAAGAAGCAGCUUGAGGAGAGUAAAAUCGAAAGAAGGCACAAGGAGGAGUGUGAGGCGAUCAGGAAAAUGAUAGCUACGCAACUGCCUCGAAACGCUCAAAAUCAUAUCCGAUUUGGAGAAAGAGAUUGCCGCUUUGGACGCUGAGAACACGGCAAGUUCGAGGAUGCUGGAGCUCCGAAAGAAGCAGUUUGCUCUGCUGUUGUAUGUGGUAUGCAGCUCUGUUAAAUUCCCCAAUUUUCGAUUAUGUUGCCUGCAUUAAGCAGUAGAACCCUUUUGAAAUUAGAUUUAAUUUUGGUUGUAUUUGGAGGUGGAUGAGUUGCAGAACACCAUAGAGGAAGAGCAGAAGAGUUUGGUUGAUUAGAGUAUACAAUGCAUCUCUUGGUUUUGCAGUUGUAAGAUUGUGUUUUUCAUGAAUGGGUUUCUAUCUAUGCAUUAUCUCUCUUGAAUCAGCGAUAUUUUGAAAUUCUUAAUUUUGUGCACCUUGUAGAUUUUCACCAAGUUCACGUGAUGGGUAGAACUUUGCCAGAACUUCUUUCUGGAUCAAUUUCAGUGUAGUUAAUUGUAUAAACCUAAUACCUGUGUACAUUGCAUUUGAGUGUAAUAUUACAGUUUGCAUCCAGAUAAAUAUUGAGAAGUCGGAAAUGCAAUACUUUUUUUUGUUGGGUUUAGGGUUUGCAUCAAAUAAACAGUUGUAUUUGUGUUUGCUUUACAAAGAGAAGGGUAUAACUAUUGAUCACCAGAGAGGGUAUAAGUGUUAAAAGUUAUUUAGUUAAGUUUAAUUAGUUUGUUAAUUAAAUAAUGCUGACAUGGCCAUGUAGAGACCAAGUCAAGCUGAAAUCCUAGAAUGUAGAAGUAGUGGUUUAGUCUGUUCACCACGUUCAAAUUUGCUUCCGUUGCUUAAGGUAGUUGAACUCCACAAAAUCUGCACUCGUGUGUUAGUGGUUAUUGUGGAGAUUGUUAUUUUGUAAGCUUUGUUAUUUCAGGUAUAUAUAAGAGAGGAAAACUGCAGUAUUCUUGAGCUGUGAAAUACGUUUGCUCAAAGAAUCCUUUUACGUUCAAGUUAAUUUCAGUUUCUCAACAUCUGGUAUCAGAGCCCUUCUGGGCCUGAACAAACUUGAAAAAGGUGAAAGAUUGUGUCUUGCAGCAGCAAGAAACAGUGGCAACAGAGAAAGCCACUGAGAGUUUUAUUCAACCAGCGAUUCCACGAUUUGAUGGUCACUACGACCAUUGGAGCAUGCUGAUGGAAAAUUUUCUCAGGUCAAAGGAGUAUUGGAAUCUUGUGGAAUCAGGAAUUGACGCCCCAGCAGAGGGAGUUGUGUUGACUGAACAACAACAAAAGAGGGUUGCUGAACAGAAGCUGAAGGACUUGAGGGUGAAAAAUUACCUUUUUCAGGCACUUGAUCGAUCUAUCUUGGAGACGAUACUCGAGAAGGAGACCUCCAAACAAAUAUGGGAUUCUUUGAAGAAGAAAUAUGCAGGGUCAGAGAGGGUGAAGCGUGCAGUGCUUCAAACUCUAACAAAGGACUUCGAAACUUUACAAAUGAAAUCAGGAGAGUCCAUCACUGAUUUCUUUGCUAGAACUCUGGGAAUAGCAAGCAAGAUGAGAUCCAAUGGUGGCACCAUGGAAGAAGUCAAAGUUGUGGAGAAAAUUAUGAGAUCAUUGACUCCAAAAUUUGACUACAUUGUCUGUUCAAUUGAAGAGGCAAAGAACGUUGCUGAGUUACGAGUUGAUGAACUACAAAGCUCUUUGUUAGUGCAUGAACAAAGACUUAACCGCACCACUGCCAGUGAAGAACAAACAGCUCUGAAAGCUUCCAUUGUUUCUGAGUCCUCAAGUUCUCGAGGAGGAAGAGGUCGUGGAAGAGGAGGACGUGGUAGAGGAAGAGGUGGUCGAGGUCAUCAAGGAGGUGGACGGUCUGGACAUAGAGAUGACAGCAAGUCAUCUCAUGUUUUCAAAAGAGAUGAUGACUUUGAAGAAAAAGGAACGUACCACUUUGAUAAGUCAAAAGUGGAGUGUUAUAGAUGUGGAAAUUUUGGGCACUACAAGAAUGAGUGCUACACGAAGUUACCAAAAAAAAAAGGUGAAAGAUUGUUUCUUGCUGCUGCAAGACACAAUCUUUCACCUUUUUCAAGUUUGUUCAGGCCCAGAAGGGCUCUGAUACCAGAUGUUGAGAAACUGAAAUUAACUUGAACGUAAAAGGAUUCUUUGAGCAAACGUAUUUCACAGCUUAAGAAUACUGCAGUUUUCCUCUCUUAUAUAUACCUGAAAUAACAAAGCUUACAAAAUAACAAUCUCCACAAUAACCACUAACACACGAGUGCAGAUUUUGUGGAGUUCAACUACCUUAAGCAACGGAAGCAAAUUUGAACGUGGUGAACAGACUAAACCACUACUUCUACAUUCUAGGAUUUCAGCUUGACUUGGUCUCUACAUGGCCAUGUCAGCAUUAUUUAAUUAACAAACUAAUUAAACUUAACUAAAUAACUUUUAACACCCUCCCUUAAACUGAUUUUACGAAAAACAGUUUAGGAUCUCUACACCAUCACAUAAUCAUCUUCCUGUUCAAUGCUUUGAAAUGAACAAACUCCCACCAUCACAUAAUCAUCUUCCUGUUCAGUGCUUUGAAAUGAACAAACUCCCAACAUGCUUCUCAGCUUCUCAAACGCAGGUUGCUUCAAAGGCUUAGUUAAGAUGUCUGCAACCUGCUCCCCACUCUUGCAAUAUUCAAGUACAAUCUUCUCAUCACUGCACAGAUCACGCAAGAAAUGAUGAGAGGAAAACUAAUCGUGUCGUGCCUCGCAACUGGGGCAAACACCUCUUUGUAAUCAAUGCCAUGCUUCUGCUUGUAGCCCUUAGCUACCAAACGAGCUUUGUGCUUGUCAACCUCACUUUUUUCGUUCAACUUUGUUCUAAACACCCAUUUAACACCAAUGGUUUGCUUUCCCUUUGGAAGAUCAGUUAACUCCCAGGUUUGAUUCUUCUCAAUGGACUUGAUUUCAUUGUCCAUUGCUUCCCUCCAUUUCUCCUCUUUAACAGCCUCAGAAUAUGUGAUUGGAUCACUAUCUACAAGUAAUGCAAAGUGAGCAUUUUCAUCAUCAGAACUUGAAUAACUUACAUCGUAGUCCAUCAUCCAUGCUGGCCUCUUCCUUGAGUUCUCAUCUCUCAGAUUGUAUCUCUCUUCUUCAAACUGUUGAGAUGACUGAACUUCAGGUUGAGGUGGCUGCUGGGCUUGAGUCUCAGGAGCUGCUACCUCUUCAUUGUCUGAAUCAUCAUAAACUGGAAUUUGUUGUUGAACCGAUCUGUUCUCAGACCAAUUCCACAUAGUGUCUUCAUCAAAUAUCACAUCCCUGCUUACCACUAUCUUCUUUGUAACUGGAUUGUACAGUUUGUAUGCUUUUGAGACUUCACUUACACCAAGAAAAACACAUUUUUCACUUUUGUCAUCCAACUUCUUUCUUUUCUCAUCGGGGAUGUGUGCAUAUGCUAUGCACCCAAACACCCUAAAGUGAUCAACCGCAGGCUUCAAUCCACUCCAAGCUUCUUGAGGAGUCAUAUUCUUAACAGAAAAUGUGGGACUUCUGUUUAAAAUAUGAACUGACCAUAGCACAGCUUCAGGCCAAAACUUCUUGGGAAUUCUUCCUUUGACUAGCAGACUUCGAACCAUGUUGAGAAUGGUGCGAUUUUUCCUUUCACUUACACCAUUUUGUUGUGGUGUAUAGGCAGUGGUCAGCUGUCUCUUGAUGCCUUUCUCUUUGCAAAAUGCAUCAAAUUCCUUCGAACAGUACUCUCCCCCACGGUCAGUUCUUAGAAUUUUAAUCUUCUUUUCUGAUUCAUUUUCAACUAGAGCUUUGAAGCUUUUGAAUGCUUCAAAUGCCUCUGAUUUUUCCUGCAAGAAAUAUACCCAUGUCUUUCUACUAAAAUCAUCAGUAAAGGAGAUGAAAUAUUUCUUGUUACCAUUUGAGAUGGGAUUUAUUGGUCCACAUAGAUCAGAGUGAACCAUCUCCAGGAUUGAUUGAGCCCUUGCUGCCUUGCCACUUGGAAAAGAGUCUCUUUUGUGCUUCCCAGUGAUGCAUUCUUCACACAUCUUUGAUGGAGGAGUUAUCUCAGGUAGGCCAGUGACCAUCCCUUUCUGGUGAAGUGUUCUCAAGCCAUUAAAAUUCAAAUGGCCAUAUCUGUAGUGCCAUCUCCACGGGUCAUCUUCUUUGGCAAAUAAGCAAGCCUGCAGAGUCUUGAUUUUCAAAGGAAACAAUCUGUUGGAAGACAUUUUUACAACAGCAAUGGACCCUCUUUUUGGGUCGUACACUUCACACUCUCCUUUAUAGAUUGUAAUCCUGUAGCCUUUAUCUUGUAACUGACCAGCACUCAGCAAAUUUGUCUUCAAAUCAGGAAUAUAAAAAACAUUUGAGAUAGUUUCAAUAAAGUCAUUUUUAGUUUUGAUUUGAAUAUCUCCCUUACCCAUCACUUUCACUGUUGACUUGUCACCAAAACUCACUACCGUGUGAAAGCUUUCAUCCAAAUUAAUAAAGGAAGACUUACAUCCACUCAUGUGAUUGCUGCAGCCUGUGUCCACAUACCAUGUCUCCUGAUCAGUUUCUGUCAGUGCAUGAAAAGCCAUCAAAAGUGUCUCUUCCUCCUUCUUUUUCUCCACAAAAUUUGACUUUUCUCCUUUUUCUUUUGGUAACUUCGUGUAGCACUCAUUCUUGUAGUGCCCAAAAUUUCCACAUCUAUAACACUCCACUUUUGACUUAUCAAAGUGGUACGUUCCUUUUUCUUCAAAGUCAUCAUCUCUUUUGAAAACAUGAGAUGACUUGCUGUCAUCUCUAUGUCCAGACCGUCCACCUCCUUGAUGACCUCGACCACCUCUUCCUCUACCACGUCCUCCUCUUCCACGACCUCUUCCUCCUCGAGAACUUGAGGACUCAGAAACAAUGGAAGCUUUCAGAGCUGUUUGUUCUUCACUGGCAGUGGUGCGGUUAAGUCUUUGUUCAUGCACUAACAAAGAGCUUUGUAGUUCAUCAACUCGUAACUCAGCAACGUUCUUUGCCUCUUCAAUUGAACAGACAAUGUAGUCAAAUUUUGGAGUCAAUGAUCUCAUAAUUUUCUCCACAACUUUGACUUCUUCCAUGGUGCCACCAUUGGAUCUCAUCUUGCUUGCUAUUCCCAGAGUUCUAGCAAAGAAAUCAGUGAUGGACUCUCCUGAUUUCAUUUGUAAAGUUUCGAAGUCCUUUGUUAGAGUUUGAAGCACUGCACGCUUCACCCUCUCUGACCCUGCAUAUUUCUUCUUCAAAGAAUCCCAUAUUUGUUUGGAGGUCUCCUUCUCGAGUAUCGUCUCCAAGAUAGAUCGAUCAAGUGCCUGAAAAAGGUAAUUUUUCACCCUCAAGUCCUUCAGCUUCUGUUCAGCAACCCUCUUUUGUUGUUGUUCAGUCAACACAACUCCCUCUGCUGGGGCGUCAAUUCCUGAUUCCACAAGAUUCCAAUACUCCUUUGACCUGAGAAAAUUUUCCAUCAGCAUGCUCCAAUGGUCGUAGUGACCAUCAAAUCGUGGAAUCGCUGGUUGAAUAAAACUCUCAGUGGCUUUCUCUGUUGCCAUUGUUUCUUGCUGCUGCAAGACACAAUCUUUCACCUUUUUCAAGUUUGUUCAGGCCCAGAAGGGCUCUGAUACCAGAUGUUGAGAAACUGAAAUUAACUUGAACGUAAAAGGAUUCUUUGAGCAAACGUAUUUCACAGCUUAAGAAUACUGCAACAGAAGCUGAAUAUGUAGCAGCAGCUGCAAGCUCCUGUCAAGCUAUGUGGCUUAGGAAAAUAUUUGAAGUGCUUGGUAAUGUUCAAAAGGGACCAACAACCAUCUACUGCGACAACAUUUCAACUAUAAAGCUAUCGAGGAAUCCAGUCAUGCAUGGGAGAAGUAAACACAUUGAUGUACGUUUUCAUUUCUUGCGUGAUCUGUGCAGUGAUGAGAAGAUUGUACUUGAAUAUUGCAAGAGUGGGGAGCAGGUUGCAGACAUCUUAACUAAGCCUUUGAAGCAACCUGCGUUUGAGAAGCUGAGAAGCAUGUUGGGAGUUUGUUCAUUUCAAAGCACUGAACAGGAAGAUGAUUAUGUGAUGGUGGGAGUUUGUUCAUUUCAAAGCAUUGAACAGGAAGAUGAUUAUGUGAUGGUGUAGAGAUCCUAAACUGUUUUUCGUAAAAUCAGUUUAAGGGAGGGUGUUAAAAGUUAUUUAGUUAAGUUUAAUUAGUUUGUUAAUUAAAUAAUGCUGACAUGGCCAUGUAGAGACCAAGUCAAGCUGAAAUCCUAGAAUGUAGAAGUAGUGGUUUAGUCUGUUCACCACGUUCAAAUUUGCUUCCGUUGCUUAAGGUAGUUGAACUCCACAAAAUCUGCACUCGUGUGUUAGUGGUUAUUGUGGAGAUUGUUAUUUUGUAAGCUUUGUUAUUUCAGGUAUAUAUAAGAGAGGAAAACUGCAGUAUUCUUAAGCUGUGAAAUACGUUUGCUCAAAGAAUCCUUUUACGUUCAAGUUAAUUUCAGUUUCUCAACAUCUGGUAAUCAAACCUGGGAGUUAACUGAUCUUCCAAAGGGAAAGCAAACCAUUGGUGUUAAAUGGGUGUUUAGAACAAAGUUGAACGAAAAAAGUGAGGUUGACAAGCACAAAGCUCGUUUGGUAGCUAAGGGCUACAAGCAGAAGCAUGGCAUUGAUUACAAAGAGGUGUUUGCCCCAGUUGCGAGGCACGACACGAUUAGGUUAGUGAUCUCUCUUGCAGCUCAAAAUUCCUGGCAAAUUUUUCAGUUAGACGUGAAGUCAGCAUUCCUGCAUGGAAACCUGCAAGAGGAGGUGUACAUUGAUCAACCACCUGGUUAUGAGAGAAAAGGAGAAGAAGAGAAGGUGUUCAAACUAAAGAAAGCACUCUAUGGACUGAAACAAGCACCUCGAGCUUGGUACAGUCGCAUAGAUGCUCACUUUGCUAAGCUUGGAUUUCACAAAUGUCCUUUUGAGCACACACUUUAUGUCAAGACUGAGGAAGAAGGUAAAAUACUCAUGGUUUGCUUGUAUGUUGAUGACUUGAUAUUCACUGGAAGUGAUGCUAAAAUGUUUGAUGAAUUCAAGAAGUCUAUGAUGAUGGAGUUUGAAAUGACUGAUCUAGGAUUAAUGCACUAUUUUCUUGGAUUGGAAGUCAUUCAAACUACUGCUGGUAAUUUCAUCUACCAGAAAAAAUAUGCACAGGACAUUCUUAACAGGUUUCAGAUGGAUGACUGCAAGCCAUUUGGAACUCCAGCUGAAUACGGCUUAAAGCUAUGCAAAGACAAAGGUGGAAAGGAGGUUGACAGCACUUUCUAUAAACAGAUAAUUGGGAGUCUCAUGUAUUUAACAUACACGAGGCCUGACAUCAUGUAUGCAGUGAGUCUUGUGAGCCGAUAUAUGGAAAAACCAACUGAAAUGCAUCUCAAUGCAGCAAAGAGAAUUCUCAGGUAUGUAAAGGGGACAAUUGAUUAUGGUGUGUUUUAUAAAAGGGAAGAUGGUUCUGGUUUUGUUGGGUACACAGAUAGUGACUAUGCAGGUGAUAUAGAUGAUCGUAAGAGCACUUCCGGUCACAUAUUUCUGCUCAACUCUGGUGCAAUAUCGUGGUCCUCAAAGAAGCAACAAAUUGUGACGCUUUCCUCAACAGAAGCUGAAUAUGUAGCAGCAGCUGCAAGCUCCUGUCAAGCUAUGUGGCUUAGGAAAAUAUUUGAAGUGCUUGGUAAUGUUCAAAAGGGACCAACAACCAUCUACUGCGACAACAUUUCAACUAUAAAGCUAUCGAGGAAUCCAGUCAUGCAUGGGAGAAGUAAACACAUUGAUGUACGUUUUCAUUUCUUGCGUGAUCUGUGCAGUGAUGAGAAGAUUGUACUUGAAUAUUGCAAGAGUGGGGAGCAGGUUGCAGACAUCUUAACUAAGCCUUUGAAGCAACCUGCGUUUGAGAAGCUGAGAAGCAUGUUGGGAGUUUGUUCAUUUCAAAGCACUGAACAGGAAGAUGAUUAUGUGAUGGUGGGAGUUUGUUCAUUUCAAAGCAUUGAACAGGAAGAUGAUUAUGUGAUGGUGUAGAGAUCCUAAACUGUUUUUCGUAAAAUCAGUUUAAGGGAGGGUGUUAAAAGUUAUUUAGUUAAGUUUAAUUAGUUUGUUAAUUAAAUAAUGCUGACAUGGCCAUGUAGAGACCAAGUCAAGCUGAAAUCCUAGAAUGUAGAAGUAGUGGUUUAGUCUGUUCACCACGUUCAAAUUUGCUUCCGUUGCUUAAGGUAGUUGAACUCCACAAAAUCUGCACUCGUGUGUUAGUGGUUAUUGUGGAGAUUGUUAUUUUGUAAGCUUUGUUAUUUCAGGUAUAUAUAAGAGAGGAAAACUGCAGUAUUCUUGAGCUGUGAAAUACGUUUGCUCAAAGAAUCCUUUUACGUUCAAGUUAAUUUCAGUUUCUCAACAAUAAGUACUUGUGUUUGCUCAUAUAAGAGGACCGCCUUGAAUAAUCCAAAAGACUAGCUUACUUAAUUUUAAAAAAAUCAGUUUUGAAAACUGUUAAAUGUAACUUUAUGCAAUGUUAAAUCAAACAUAUCAAAAGAAAUAAAUAUCAUAAAACAUGUGAAAUUUGAAAUAUGAAAAAAAGUGAAAUCAUGCGAUUUGGGGAUUGGGUUCUAUUGGGUUGGAGGCGAAGCGGGUUACGAGCUGCAUUUUGGGUUUUAAAAGCCCAAUUCCGGAUUGAAAACCCAUCCUUGACUGGAAGGUUGCAAAUUUCUAUAUGGGGAAUAUUCGCUGGUAGAUUCUUCAUCCUCCUAAGUGUAGUAAUGGAGGGGUGUUAGACAAAAGAUCUCUUCUUAGCACAACGUUACACAAUUAUCAUCUUAAUAAGGGAGAAUUUAUGAACAUUGGAUUAUAAAAUGCACAUCCAUUGUUAAUUCCUGCAUAAGCUUCGCGAUUGAGUUUGAUAAUUUUUUAAUUCUCAUUUGCAUCAUCGAUGGGAUUUGAAGUUUUGAACCCACAUACUGUCUUUCUCUGCCAUUUUGGAAAAUAAAUUAUUAUUCUUCCAUUGUAAUGGACAAAUUUAAACGUUGCUCAUCAAAAUAUGUCUCAAUCACUGCCUUAAUAUAUAAAUGCUAGGCAAAAGAACCAGAGCAGCGUCCAGUUUAUUAAAUCAGAUACUAGCUACAAGCCUAGGACAGAGAAAAGCAGAAGCUUCACGGAAGCUAAGCGGCUGAGCUCUUUGGUGGGAAAGUAGGGGGUUCAAAAAGAUUUCAAAUUCCUGCAUAAUGCGGCUCCUGCUACAAUAGUGGGGAGACUAAACGUUUGCUAAACAAAUCUUCCUCCAUGGUAGAUUUGCUUUCCCUGUUCCCCUACAUUGAGAGAGUAUGUAUAGCUUGGGACUUUAGGAAGCAAUGAAAUGGGGAUAGUUCGAGGCUUGGUAUUGAAUUUGGUGUUUAUGUUCUGGUACAUUUUUUUUUAUUUCUUUUUUGUUUUAGAUAGCGAAUAAUCCAUUUUGCCUAUGGACUCUGUAUGUAGAUGGAGUUUCGCUAUGCCACAUUAGAUUUUGUUUCUUAGUAUUUGUGAUUGAUCUUGAUAUUUGAUGGGGAUCGGGAUCCGGACACAGGUCACCAACCACAUACACGAGCACCGAAAUCUAGGGCUAGUGCAAACUCACAUAUAUCGUAGCAAAUCCAUGCCACAAAUAAACUAUUUUAUUAAUCAUCAACAUAUCUCUAUCCUACAACUAUUACAUUAGCCUUAUUUAUAGGCUUUACAAGACUUGGGCACCAAGGCUACUUGGUCCAAAAGUAAACUAAUUAGUUAUAAAAUCACACAUAAAUAAUAAAAGAUAUCCUAAAACUACCUAAAUAAGAAAAUAACAAUAUAUCAUAAAAUAACUAAUUAAAUGUAAAAUAUCUAUCUUGAUCCACCACUAUGCUCUUGCAUCAGACUCCCAUGGUUGGAAAGAAUUCGUCCUCGAAUUCAAGCCUUUGAUUGAGGAAAAUCCGAGUAGAAUCUUCAAUUGCUUCAUAUUAAUUCUGGAUCUUUUAGCAUCCAAUUGAAAUCUUCCUUUCCAAAUAAAAAGAUAUUUGGAAUAUUUCGUUAUUCUUGGCUUCUUCUUACUCCCUCUAAGAAUGCAAAAGUUUCUCUCUAGGAUCUUCAACCGAUUGACAAAAUCAACUAGAUUUUUGGCAACCUUCCAAGUGAAAAUAUUAAUGCCCAUAAAAUCAAUAAUAUCUUCAAAAAUUUUCUCAAUUCUCAUCUCUUCACUGUGCUGGUCAAUAAAUUGCUUAUCAAAAUUGCUCUGAACACCCAAACAAUUUUCAUUGCAAUUUUCACAGUUACAAGGAUCAAAUAUUGGAGGUAAAUCUAAAUUUAAUAACUUUGAUGAAUAACAAGAUGCACCAAAAUUAUCAAAUUUAUUUAUACCUUCAAAGACACAAUGAGAAUAACCGUGCCCCUCUUCACUUGACUCACACAGCGGAGCGCAAUAAUGAAAAGGGUUAUCUCUCUCGUACUCCCCGUCGAGACUCUCACGGCUUAGAGUGUCGAUGCGAGCUACUCGGUUCAGAUAAGGGUUCACACAUCCCUCCCCGUCAGAACUCUUACCUAUCUGGGUUCGAGCUUCAAUGCGAGCAAUGCGUUCCGUAAGUUGCCGUAGCAUCCUCCUAAUUUCCUCCAUGUCGUUGUAGUUGUUAAAACGACCCUCCAUCCAAAAACGUCCCCGAUAUAGCAGAUCUUGAGCCAUAGCUCUGAUACCAAUUGAUGGGGAUCGGGAUCCGGACACAGGUCACCAACCACAUACACGAGCACCGAAAUCUAGGGCUAGUGCAAACUCACAUAUAUCGUAGCAAAUCCAUGCCACAAAUAAACUAUUUUAUUAAUCAUCAACAUAUCUCUAUCCUACAACUAUUACAUUAGCCUUAUUUAUAGGCUUUACAAGACUUGGGCACCAAUGCUACUUGGUCCAAAAGUAAACUAAUUAAUUAUAAAAUCACACAUAAAUAAUAAAAGAUAUCCUAAAACUACCUAAAUAAGAAAAUAACAAUAUAUCAUGAAAUAACUAAUUAAAUGUAAAAUAUCUAUCUUGAUCCACCACUAUGCUCCUGCAUAAUUGAUGGGGAUCGGGAUCCGGACACAGGUCACCAACCACAUACACGAGCACCGAAAUCUAGGGCUAGUGCAAACUCACAUAUAUCGUAGCAAAUCCAUGCCACAAAUAAACUAUUUUAUUAAUCAUCAACAUAUCUCUAUCCUACAACUAUUACAUUAGCCUUAUUUAUAGGCUUUACAAGACUUGGGCACCAAGGCUACUUGUUCCAAAAGUAAACUAAUUAAUUAUAAAAUCACACAUAAAUAAUAAAAGAUAUCCUAAAACUACCUAAAUAAGAAAAUAACAAUAUAUCAUGAAAUAACUAAUUAAAUGUAAAAUAUCUAUCUUGAUUCACCACUAUGCUCCUGCAUAAUUGAUGGGGAUCGGGAUCCGGACACAGGUCACCAACCACAUACACGAGCACCGAAAUCUAGGGCUAGUGCAAACUCACAUAUAUCGUAGCAAAUCCAUGCCACAAAUAAACUAUUUUAUUAAUCAUCAACAUAUCUCUAUCCUACAACUAUUACAUUAGCCUUAUUUAUAGGCUUUACAAGACUUGGGCACCAAGGCUACUUGGUCCAAAAGUAAACUAAUUAAUUAUAAAAUCACACAUAAAUAAUAAAAGAUAUCAUAAAACUACCUAAAUAAGAAAAUAACAAUAUAUCAUGAAAUAACUAAUUAAAUGGUAAAUAUCUAUCUUGAUCCACCCCUAUGCUCCUGCAUCAGACUCCCCUGGUUGGAAAGAAUUCGUCCUCGAAUUCAAGCCUUUGAUUGUGGAAAAUCCGAGUAGAAUCUUCAAUUGCUUCGUAUUAAUUCUAGAUCUUUUAGCAUCCAAUUGAAACCUUCCUUUCCAAAUAAAAAGAUAUUUGGAAUAUUUCGUUAUUCUUGGCUUCUUACUCCCUCUAGCAAUGCAAAUGUUUCUCUCUAGAAUCUUCAACCGAUUGACAAAAUCAACCAGAUUUUUGGCAACCUUCCAAGUGAAAAUAUUAAUGCCCAUAAAAUCAAUAAUAUCUUCGAAAGUUUUCUCAAUUCUCAUCUCUUCACUAUUCUGGGCAAUAAAUUGCUUAUCAAAAUUGCUUUGAACACCCAAACAAUUUUCAUUGCAAUUUUCACAGUUGCAAGGAUCAAAUACUGGAGGUAAAUCCAAAUUUAAUAACUUUGAUGAAUAACAAGAUGCACCAAAAUUACCAAAUUCAUUUAUACCUUCAAAGACACAAUGAGAAUAACCGUGCCCCUCUUCACUUGACUCACACAGCGGAGCACAAUACUGAAAAGGGCUAUCUCCCUCGUACUCCCCGUCGAGACUCUCACGGCUUAGAGUGUCGAUGCGAGCUACUCGGUUCAGAUAAGGGUUCACACAUCCCUCCCCGUCAGAACUCUUACCUAUCUGGGUUCGAGCUUCAAUGCGAGCAAUGCGUUCCGUAAGUUGCCGUAGCAUCCUCCUAAUUUCCUCCAUGUCGUUGUAGUUGUUAAAACGACCCUCCAUCCAAAAACCUCCCCGAUAUAGCAGAUUUUGAGUCAUAGCUCUGAUACCAAUUGAUGGGGAUCGGGAUCCGGACACAGGUCACCAACCACAUACACGAGCACCGAAAUCUAGGGCUAGUGCAAACUCACAUAUAUAUCGUAGCAAAUUCAUGCCACAAAUAAACUAUUUUAUUAAUCAUCAACAUAUCUCCCCUACAACUAUUACAUUAGCCUUAUUUAUAGGCUUUACAAGACUUGGGCACCAAGGCUACUUGGUCCAAAAGUAAACUAAUUAAUUAUAAAAUCACGCAUAAAUAAUAAAAGAUAUCAUAAAACUACCUAAAUAAGAAAAUAACAAUAUAUCAUGAAAUAACUAAUUAAAUGGUAAAUAUCUAUCUUGAUCCACCCCUAUGCUCCUGCAUCAAUAUUGGAUGCAUAUGUGCCUCUCCUUAAUCUUUUUAUUUUUUUUUAUAACAAGCGGUGCCGAAGCCCUAUUCAAUUGGGUAUGGUUUUUCAGGGUUUAGUAUUUGUGCUGUAAGAAGUACAGAAAUAAGGUUGUAGGCUGCACUUUUAGAGGAGGUGAAUGUGUUGGGACUUCCUCAUUAUCCAAGCAUACUUAUCCUUCUUUUAGUGGUAAUUGGUCUUCGAAAAAUGAACAAAAAGUAUGGUAGUUUUUUCUGAACUUCUUGAUGAGGCCUUAGUGGCUUACUGGAAGCAUAUUUUUUAUAACGUAUUUGAAGUGGAUUUUAAUGUAUCGGAAGUAUAUUUUAACGUAUUGGAAGAAGAUUAGAACCAUGUGCAUGUUUGAUAAGGUGUUGUGAGAUGGUAUGUAUGGAGAGAAUGUAUCUAGGUUCCUCUCCAGAGCUUAUUGGUUGAAUUGAAGUAGAUUACAACAAAACAUUCCUUAUGUUACAGAAAGGAAAACAGAAAAAAGAAAUACAAAGUAUAAAGUGCAAUCUAGAUCCUAACUCUUCUUUGCAUCUUGGUCACACACACUAUGAUCAUUACAUAGAACAUGUCUUGUACUUGUCUAGAAAUUGGAAAUAUGCAUGUCUUCAUGUCUUAAAACACUAAAGGACCACAAACUCCCCAAAAUGUAACACCCCGACUCCAAAUUUAAUAUCUAUUUUAAUUGAUUUAAAGUAAAAUUACGAAUUUACCCUUGGGGUAGGGGUAAAUUGGUCAUUUUCUCAUCCAAAAGGAUUUUGGGACAACGACUGGUAUUUUUGGGUAGGUUGUACUGAGACGGCUUCGUAGACACGCGGUAGGCUUGAAGCGGAGUUGUAACGAAGAUUUGGCGAUCAAAACAUUAUCAGUGGCAAACCUGUAAUUAUUUUGAAAAGAGUUAGAGUAAAAAUCUGAUUUUUCAUUUUUACCUCACUCUCUGAUUCUCUCUCUCUCUCUGCACGCGCGACCUCCCCCUCCCCUUUACUGUUCACGGAGACGGAAACCACCGCACCGCCGCCACAUCCGACCACCCCAGCCCUCGAGACCAGUCCCCUUCGACUCGUCCUGAAGCCCUAAACUAGAAUCACCCAGUCUCCCAGUAGGAAAACUUGAGAAUCGCUGACGAUCUCGACUGGUUCAAACUGGAGACUUUCCAUCGUCGCGCCGCCGUCUCCGCCGCCCAAACCCGGUGAUUGAGGUGAGGAUUCUUCCUCUUUUUCCGAGUUCUAGGUGACUGAUGCAUAGGUUUGGAUCAAUUUGCUGGGUAGAAACUGAUUUUGUAAACCUAGGUUUUGGUCGGAUUUUAAGUGAAAUUCCGGCCAGCUGCCGUCCGAAUUGGACCUCCCCGUAGUUGAAUGAAGUGAUCCUGACCUUGAGUAGAAGCUAGGAUAGGAAGGGUGAGCUCGGGUGUGGAGUUUUUCCGUCACCGAAAUUUACUCUACACACCCACGCGCUGCCGGCGCGUGAGGCGGCAUGUGGGCGAGGCUGGUGAAGUUGCAAUUUGACCCGAUGAGAUCUUUAGGUUGUUACGAGUGCAUAGGAUUCCACGGAUCUCAAUUCAGGUGUCGUUUGACUAUCGAACGGAUUUUCGCAUAUUGUGCGUUAUCCGGGUUCGAUAGGUUAUAACCGUUAGAUCUUUUUUCAAGUAAAAUAUGUUGUUAUAGGUAUUCCCAGGACCGUGUAGGACUUCACAGAUUAUGAAUCGAAGCCCCGAAUGUUUCGAUUCAAUAAUGCAAAGUUUGUGGGUUAGCGAUAACCGUACAAUCGUGAACAAUUCUUAAACCUGUAAUUGAACCUUAGGAUACCUCCUUCAACGUGCACAUACUGGGAAUUUGGGGAUUUAAGUAUUUAAUUUGUGAUUUUCGCUUCGAAGUAAUUUUAUAUUAAUUAAGGGUUCGUAUCUCGAAAUAGGUGUUCCGACUACACGUACUCAGCAGGCAGGACCCUCUCGUGGUCUGGCAGCGUGGGAAUAUUUAUGAGUGGACUUUGUUUUCAAUUAUAUGCAUGAUUUUAUUGAUGAAAGAUUUAUGCAUAAUGUUUUUAAUGGUUUAUUGAAUAUAUUAUAUUCAUGAGUUGAAUUCGAUGUUUGUACAGCGCUUUGGUAAUAUAUUGUGGGUUGGGCAUAUUUGGGUAUCGAGAGUAUAUUUUAUAUGGAUUUUGGGGAAGUAUAUAUAUAUAUAUUCUCUAUAAGUGAGAUACUUGGGUUGUUGAAGUGAGUUGUGGAAGAACUUGAAUAUGAGGGGUUGUUGAGAGAAGUUGUAUGAUUACACUAUGUAAGUACCUUCCCCAGUUAUUAGACUUUUCACACGUGGCGUUGGAUGUUCCGGCGUGUGGGAAGAAUAGGUUAUCCGUCUCACACGCGGCUUGGAUGUUCCGGAGUAUGGAAAAACUAUGUAUAUUGUUUAGGGUCAUCACCCAUGGCGUUGGAUGUUCCGGUGUGUGAUGAUCCAGUCUGCGCGCGUAUGACAUAAUUUGGGAGCUACACAUGGCGUUGGAUGUUCCGGUGUGUGAGCUAUGGAGUUUCGUCCCCCGGUUGGACAGCUCAUCCCUAGACGCAUGAUAGCACCUGAAAAUCCUGCGGGCUAGUCAAACGAUCCCCUAGUUGGAUUGUUUCCCCGGUACCUAGGUAGUGUGAUGAGUAUAUCAUAUAGCUAUGUAUAGUUGUAUUUAUAUAUAUAUAUGUAUGUAUGUAUGUAUAUGUAUAGUUGGGAUAGUGAAGAAUUAGAGUUUUUCAGUGGUUUGGAAGGAGUUGCAAGAUUGUAAGAAUGAGGUUUAUGGAUGAGAUGACUUGUGUUUUAAAGAAUUUUAAAUGAAAUAAGUUUUGAGUAAUUCAAUAAUGAAUUGUGAACCUGCAUGUCUUGAGCAUUAUUUUUACACGGUGGGGUUACUAUAUUGUUUUAAAUGCAAAUCUUGUUUUUGUCCACUCACAUGUUUUCUGUUUUGCCCCCCCCAACUAGUAGUCGCUCUAGGAAGCGUGCAAGUGGUGUACGAGGCUCGAACCGUGAACUUUCCUAGUUAGGAUUUGAGUAAUUUAUUUUACUCAACUAUUCUUGUAAUCUAAAUUCAGUAGAUGCUCUGUUAUCGCCCAUGGUAGAUUUUAAUUGUGAGGCCGGAGGCCAUUUAGUAUGUUUUGAUGAAUUAUGAAAGCAUGCUGCUGGUUAGGAUUAUUAUUUUACGUUUAUUGCAGGUUGAAAUUUUUGUUGGGUUUGCUUAGUUUACAGGGGAGACUCUGCCAAAAUUGUGGUAGAGAGUCUCGGUUUUUAGUAAGUGGGCCCGGCAUCGGGAAGAUGUCGGAACAAAGACGGGGUCCGCUUUGGCUUCUGGGAAAUUCCGAAGCGGGUCUUGUCACAAAAUCCCAUAAUAAAUCCAAGCGCAAGUGAAAUAUAAAACCAUGGGAUUUCAUACCUGCAUCAAUCCCAUUAGUUCCCAGGCACUCAAUUGGGAGGGGAGCACCACAAAGUUUCUGGUUUCCCUCAAAUGCAGAGGCAUUGAAGCCUUGGAGCUGAGUAUUUGUUGGUAUUAGUCCUUCAAAAUUAUUGUAGGAGACAUUGAGACAAGAAAAUAAGACUCCUCAAUGAUGUUGGGAUUUUUCCAGACAAAUGAUUCAUGGAUGAAACACUGUAGUACACUGCAAUUAUUGAACCACAGAUAAGUUGAAUGGCUAUUAAAGUAAGCGAAAUCUUCCUCACCCAACCAAAUUUUCUAAUGAACAUCAUAGCACAAUCCAUAAAAUGUAAACUCUCAAGAGGAAAAAGGAAAUUUACAUUACAUGUGAUGCCAAAACAAUUUCAAUAGAAAAGAGACUCAAAAGUCAAGGCAAGAAACCGAAGAUUCUCCCUAAGAAAGAGCUCAAUACGUCCAAUACUCAGGAUAAAGGACAAGGUGAAAAAAAAAAAAAAAAAAGGGAAAGGAAAAACAUGAAAGUCUUUUACAAAAUGAAAGGGCAAAUGUUUUCCACCAAAAAAAAAUAAAAGAAAUUUCAAGAAAAGCUUCCGUGGUUUUGGGGAAGUAUCAUUUUUCUUUACCUUUUUCUUUUCCUACCAAAGUGAACUGGCUCUGGUCUGGUCCAUGUUUGCUUACUAAAGUUAGUUAAUUCACAAGAAAGUUUAGAUGAAAGGGAGAGAAGAGGGCGCUGUAGAGGUGGAAAACCACAUCAUCCCACAAUAAAAAGGAAAUAAUGAGAAAGGACUAAUCACUAAUGUUUUCCACAACACCCCACUGAAACUUCGCUGGGAUGCGUUCUCUUUCUUCUCACCAAAGUGAUUGUCCCUUUUUUUAUGUUCUUUUUUUCUUUCUUUCUCUCUUAAGCUUAUCAAUUCCUUUCUGUGACCAAAUGGGGUCUUUAGGACACACAGGAGGCCAAGAAAUCCAAAAAGUCCCCACGUGUUGUAAUAGUGGAGUCCCCAAAAUGCCCCCUUGAAUGCCUAUAAAUACUCCCCCCCUUCCUACUUGUAAAUUGAACAACAGAAACGAGAUUGAGAAAACAUUCUCUUCUCUAAUUCCUUAUCUUGCUCUUUCUCUUUGCUCUCUACAAUUCCCCCUAAUUUAUAACACGUUAUCAGCACGAAUUCGCUUUCAAAAAUACCAGCUGAGAAAUUCUUCAAAGCUUCCAUCUUUUUCUUCCACCAAUGAAGACUUUCCUGCCCAAAUUAUUGAAAAGACAGAGAGGCCUUCCAAUCUCUCUCCAGAAAUUUCAAAACACGGAAUCGCUUCAAUUUCCAUUUCCUUUGAAGAUUCAAAGCUGCAAACCCAAGAUCACCGUCAUCGACAACACCUUCACAUUGAGUAACCACCACCACAAAAGCCAAAAGCUUUCGUUUCAUUGACCCAAAUUGGUUGUGCCCAGUUGUUUUGUUUCUUCGAAUUUCAUGGCUUCGGCGGCGAUAUUCUCAUCGCUGCAGUGGCGAAGGUCGCCUCGCCGAUUCCAAACCGAUGCUGGCCUCCACAACCCGCCCAGAUAUUGAAGUAGCAGUUGUUGACAUUUCUGUGUCACGGAUCAAUGCCUAGAAUAGUGAUCAGCUCCCCAUAUAUGAGCCAGGCCUUGAUGAUGUGGUGAAGCAGCGCAGGGGAAAGAACCUAUUCUUCAGUACAGAUGUUGAAAGACAUGUUAUGGAGGCAGAUAUUGUCUUUGUUUCUGUAAACACACCUACCAAAACCCAGGGUUCCUGUGCUUGACCACCAUGGGCGUCGUCGUCACCUUCUACUCCUACUACCUCAUGUCCAAGGUGCUCGACCACUGCGAGAAGGCUGGCCGCCGCCACAUCUGAUUCCCCAGACUCACAGCCCUCCACCACCACCGCGCUUACCAUGGACUUUCGCAUCCGAGUUCGCCGUCUCUAAGGCUGCCUACUUCCUGUGGCUGCUGGUGUUAUUGGGGGUAAUGGGUCUUCUUGGAAUCUGUUUAAGUACAAGCCCAGGAAGAAGAAGACGGUGAAUAAGGUUAUGGUGUCUUGUGUUUAUUCUUCCGUGAUGAAAAAAAAAAAAAAAAAAAACACUAUGAUUUGGUCAACUUCGCAGUCCUUCAUCGGCAAUUGAUGUUUAAGGACCAGUACCUGGAGAUUUCGACGGUGUUUAAGGACCCGACCUUAGCUCAGUUGGUAGAGCAGCAGGACUGAAGAAGGAGGGAGGGACUUGGUGGUUGCUUUUCGGGCCACGACCGAAAUGAUGAGCAGCACCCACUAAUAAAGAACAGCACCCACCGAAAUGAUGAGAUUCCCACCACUUUUCAAUUAUUAUCAUUCUAUAUUAUUUAAUAUUAAUAUUAAUGCGUGUGCUAAUGGCAGGUCAAAUGAAAAUACAGUGACAAGCGUGAUACCUUACAGCAAAUUAGCACUAAGUUGCAGAUGGCCCUGCUUCUAUAAUAAUAAUAUACUAUUUGAUUGUGGUGUUGAUAUGAACCCACAAAUAAUUGCCUUUACUUUAUCGCAAAUUUACUUUUACUUAAAGUAUGAUGUGGAAUUGACCCUCAUACUUUAUAAAAUUUCAUUUACCACACAUUUAUUUUAUUUACUGUAUGGUGUAGGUUUAUUACCCAUACAACAGUAUUUAUUUAAAAGGGUAGUGCGGGUUUAUCGUCCACGCCUUUACUUUUAUUUAAAUGUAUGGAGCAGAAUUAGUGCACAUACAAGCACAUUUACUUUUAUUAAAAGUAUGAUGUGGAAUUAACCCUCAUACUUUAUGAAUUUACUUUACUGCAAAUUUACUUUUAUUAAAAGUAUGAUGUGGAAUUAACCCUCAUACUUUAUGAAUUUACUUUACUGUACAUUUACUUUUAUUAAAAGUAUGAUGUGGAAUUAACCCUCAUACUUUAUGAAUUUACUUUACUGCACAUUUACUUUUAUCAAAAGUAUGAUGUGGAAUUAACCCUCAUACUUUAUAUUUCUUUUUAUUUAAAGUAUGGUGCGAAAUUAACGUCCAUACAGCAAGUAAUUUAUUUUAUGGAUUAAAUGUGCUGUAUGAUGAGUUUUCACAGUAUGCAGAUCAGGACCAGAAGUUCCUUGAUCCUCAUCAUACAAUUACAUCAGGACUUGAAGAUCCUUGAUGAUGAUGUUAAUAUGAGAGCUGGCAGUCUCUCCGGUACUAUAUUGGUAAACAUGUGAUUGGACUUGAGGAUCCUUGAUCCCUGACAUGUACAUAAGGACCUGGGGUUCCUUAAUGAUGUAACAGUACUGUAUUGUUUCAUAAUGCCGUACACAUGGAUGAUAACUGUACUAGCAAAUGUACUGUCCACAUGAAUAGAUACGUAUUCAUGACUUGAUGAAUAGUACCGGAUAUAUGAAUAGUGACAUAUACAUAAAUAUUAACCAUUUUGGGUAAACCGUCACUAUAUUCAAAAGGGAACCUGCAGUUCCUUAAACUCAUGAAUGAGCAAUUAAAUGAGAUGCCAGAAGUUCCUCAAGAUAUGGACAAUUAUGUAAGGACUUGAAGUCCAGAAAUGUGUACAGAAAAUUGUAAAAAUGUCCAUACCAUGAGAAUAUGUGAUUUUGGCCCGAAGUUCAAAAUCUAAGGGGAUUGAAUGUCCAUACCAUGAGAAUAUGUGAUUUUGGCAAGAAGUUCAAAAUCUAACAGUGUUGAGAACCUAAAGUUCCAACAGUUAAAUGGACAAUCCUUGAGGUAUUAUUGCAAAUUGUGGUACACCACAUAUUUCUUUGGCAUAAGAGAAUGAUGAAUUUAAUAAAGUUCGAUUAUGUUAUAAUCGACACCUCAAGGAAGAAAUAUAUUUUGUGAAUUCCGGUUGUUAAGAAUACACCGUGAAAUGGAUAAUAUCAGUAUAAAUCUCAAAUGAUGAAUUGAGGCUCCCCACAUAUUUUGAUAUAUCUGGGCCGGAAGCACAUGGAUUCAAAUAUAUGAGAAAUCCAGAAUUUGAGAUUGUGGGUAUAUAGUAGUUAAUGAUCUUCACUACUAUAUUGCGAUAUUAUCGUAGCUUUUACUCAAUUCAUAUUUCAUGUCCAUUUGAAAAGGGUGAAUAAAUUUUGAGAUUUGUGUUUAGCUCAGGCCAAAAGUUCCGGGCUACCAUGCGUUAAAAUAUGAAAUUUUGGAAAGUCGAUGUGGUUAUUUGAACCUAUAAGGCACAAGGUUCCAAACCGUCAUUUUGAAAAGACGUAAAAACCACAGAUGCAAGUUUAAGAAUGUGCGCAAUUAUUAUUACAGGAACAUACAACAGAUAGAUUUUUUCCUGCAAUGAAGGUGCAGGCCCUGUAAAAUCUAUAAAAAUACAUUAUGUUCUAGAAGCCUCUGAAGGAAGAGGACGACGCCUCUUAAGCUUAGCCAUGAGCCUUUCAUGGUCUCCCAAAAUUCUUUCAUUGGAGACUUGCAACAUGUCUAGCCUCCUCAGUGUAUCAACAGAGUACGAACUCACCAGUUUCAACAAGGCAUUAUUCUCUCCUUUAAGUUUCUCAACCUCCUGUUGAGACUCAUGAAGCAUUCUUUGGAGAGACGAAUUUUCAGUUGUUAAAAUCUGAACCUCGUUUGCUCUAGCACGCAAACGAUCAGCCAUGUUAGAAACAGAAACAACACUCUGAAUGCUAAAAGCCAAUGAGUCAUCAAUAGCCUCUUCCUCUGAUCUCCCUGUCAACAACAUUUCAUCCAUUGGAGUAAUGAAAUUCCUAGCUACUAUGACAGCAGUAGCAUCAUUCAUCAUCACAGAAUCAUUAACUGUGAGAUGACGAUUUUUGGAUACAAAGGAUGGACGCCAAACUUGGGCGUCACUGGUUGUUGUGGGAGUAUCAUUUAAAUUGAAAUAAUCUGGGCAGGAAGAAGAGGAAGCCAUUUUUAAGAAAGUUUUCGAAGAAAGUCUUGAGAAAACUAAAGUUUCAGAAAAUGAAGGAAGUUAAAUUGCAACGCAGUUGCUCCAAUCAAGUUUUGCAAAGGCAAUAUCUAUAGGAGGAAAUAUGGCUACAGUUUUUCAGGAUCCCAAUAUCUUUUCGGAUCCCCAUAUUCUCUUUUUCUUUCCCAGAUUCCAAAACUUCGCAUGGCCUCCAUUAAUGUUUGUCGGCACUUUCGGCGUUUUCAAAGUAUUAUUUUCGUCAAAAGCCGAUCUUGCUUUGCAGAUUUCACGGAGCUACUUUUUCAAAAGUAUCCCGAGUAUCUCGCAAUUUUCCUAUGGUUAAUUUGAAAUUCACCGGUUCUACCUAUUCAUUAUAUUUGUGUAUAAAUGUGUUACUAACGAAAUUCUCUUUGCAGAAGACAUUCAGUUUUCUGCAUACCUAGGGAUGCGAUAUCUACUUGUUUUUCUUAUUAGUGAGCACUUAAUAUGCCUGAGAAGCAAGACUAUCUCUGAUCAUCCAUUCAGGAAGCGAGACUAUCCCUGAUCACGUUUCCGCUACAUCAGGGAACUGUGAAGGCAACCUUAUACUCUAAUCUCCGGAAGUUCUUCUAGACUAGAAGAAAUGAGAGCUGGUUGUUUGCUCCCACCAGCUUCCUUCCUUGAUUGCUGAGCUUGUUGUCUGCUCCCACCAGCUUCCUUCCCUGAUUGCUUACCUUCUCUUGCAAUCAAUAUCACAAUUUUUUGCAUUUUUUCUCUUUUUGUAACUCUCUGAGGAUUAUUUGUUUUUGACAGAGAAAAGAGUUGUGAUGUUGCUCUUGCAGGAUAUAACUAGAUCAUUAAGCGCUACAUUAUAUUUACUGGGCCGAUACGAGCUUGAAUGAUACUUGAGAAAAGUUUCUCCCCCCUAAGGAUGUAAGCAAUACUUGUGUUAUUAUAUGCUUACACACUUAUUUGAUAUUUUAUCUUGAAAGGUAACCAAAUGGGGAGAUAAGUCCGUUCCAAAAGAAUGGCUUGUAUGUAUCCAUGAAUUAUUAAUUCAAAUUUUACAGAUUGCAAGUUGGAUACAUUGAUAAUACGCUGCACAGAUUAAAGUCCCAUAAGAACAUAAUAUGGGUAUAGCAGUGAUCAAUAUGAUGCACGCCUAUUGCGUAGCAAAUAAUGUGGAUUGAAGUCCCGAAAGGACAAUCCUCUGACAUGUCAAUAUUGAUAUUGUGCACGCCUAAUGCGUAGCAAAUUAUAUGGGUUAAAGUCCCAUAAUAUGGGUUAAGGUCCCAGAAAUUAAUUGACAUGUAUGUAUUAAUCUGUGGCAUGCCUUCAGCAUGACAGAUAUAUGGGUUCUAAAUGUUCCAACUCCCUAAAUGGAGAUUAUCCACGCCCUACUGCUAAAUAACGCUCCAAUGGAGGUUAUAAUCCACAUUCUCACAUAAUAAAAGCCCCAUGAAGUGGCUUGGGUACCCAAAAGCAAAGAAAUGCUUAUAAUUGAUGCAUGCGCAUGCAAAUGAGAAUGGUGGGAUCAUGAAUUGAUGAAUGACAAUUUUUGGUUAUGGAGUAGCUACUCAAAUCAUCAAUGGGCUGUGUUGAUUGGAACCACGUUCAAUUAUUAAAUGUCGACAAUAUCAUUGGCCAAAAUGGAGUGAGGUAAUUCCAUUAUAAAUGAGAAUGAACGUGAAAGAACAAACCCACAAUACGAACCCCAAAAGAUGUUAAUACUAAAAUUUAUACUUGGGUGUUCGGAAUAAAAGGGAAUAUACCUACUUUGUCUGACACACUGUUUCUGGCAUAAACAAGGAAUGUUGGGUUUUUCUCCAUAUUUACAGAUUCAAUUGUGCCCCCUUAUUACACAAUUACGGAGACCAACAUAUUAUCUUUAAGGGUUAUUAAAUGCACAGAGCAUAUCGCUAGAAGCGAUUCCCUAAAGAUGUAUAAAUAGCUGGGUUAAAGCUAUAUAAUGUGUCAUAAAGUUUAAUCCCUUUUAAACAAAAUCCGUUGAGAGGAUUGACAUUGCAUAAAGCAAGUCCCUAAAGGACAUGUGCUUGAAGCACAAAACUUGUACUCAAUAUUAAUAUGCAUAAAUUACCUCAGUGAGUACAUUGAUUAUAAUGUGAUUGCAACACAUUAAAGCUUCUGCAGAAUUCAAGAAAUAUUUGUCUCGAUCGAGCAUUAUGCCAACGAGAUUCUUGCUUAUACUAAGAAAGUAUUGAAGCAUUUUUAUGAGUCUUAUCCGUUGGUCCUUAAAUGUUUUUCCGAAAGUAUACUAGACCAGAUAGAGCUCAGCUCCACACUGUACUCUUUUUCCUUCAUCCAGGUUUUUAUCCCACUGGGUUUUUCCUGGUAAGACUUUAACGAGGCAGUGUCGCUCAAGGGUUUAAGGUAUACUAUGAAAAUUUUUAUGGUCGCUUACUGGACAAAAGCUAGUCCUAAAUUUUUCAGGGGGAGAUAUUCAUCAGGGGGAGCGUGGUUUUAAUAAAGACCUUCAUACACUGUACUCUUUUUCCUUCAUCCAGGUUUUUAUCCCACUGGGUUUUUCCUGGUAAGGUUUUAACGAGGCAGUGUCGCUCAAGAUUGACUCACAGAAGCAGUGUCAACUACGAUAUUCAGAAAGGUGAUCAACAGUAUGACUUAAAGAUAUUUUGCCAAGCAUCAGGGGGAGCGCGCUAUCAAUAAAGAUCUUCAAACACUGUACUCUUUUUCCUUCGUCCAGGUUUUUAUCCCACUGGGUUUUUUCCUGGCAAGGUUUUAACGAGGCAGUGUCGCACGCACGUCAAUAUAUAUAGAAUUUUAUGUUACACGUUGUUAUGUACUCCUUUUCCCUUUGACCAGUUUUUGUCCCACUGGGUUUUUUUUACUGGCAAGGUUUUUAACGAGACAUAUUCUGUAUCAUUUGUGGUCUCCAAGGGGGAGUGUUGUAAUAGUGGAGUCCCCAAAAUGCCCCCUUGAAUGCCUAUAAAUACUCCCCCCCUUCCUACUUGUAAAUUGAACAACAGAAACGAGAUUGAGAAAACAUUCUCUUCUCUAAUUCCUUAUCUUGCUCUUUCUCUUUGCUCUCUACAAUUCCCCCUAAUUUAUAACACCACGCCAUUAGUAUAGAUAUACCUGUCCAUUUUUAAGUAACAUUAAAAACCUCACAUGUGAAGAGGUCAUAGUCCUAUCCUAAAACGCAAUAAUUUGAUCCAAAAAUUCCUACAACACAAUAUGUUGGGGCUCAGUAUCAGAGGUGUGAAGGAAGUUGAGGUUCUACAUCAAAACUAAUUGGCAAUGAGAGGGUUGCCGAACUCCUUAUAAACUCAAGUUAUGUUCCUUUAACUUUUUAAUGUAGGAAGCCUAACACGUGGAUAAGACAUAUUGGCCUCGCUUGGUUCACGGAACGGAUUUGAGGGGAAAUCACUUCACAUGUCAUUUCCUAAGGAAUGGGAAAUGGAAGAUUCCUUUUCUAUGUUUGGUAAUAUUGGGAAAGUAACCAGGGGAUAUCACUUUAUUUCAUUUUUCAUGUUUGUUUUGAGUAGGAAUAGAACACAAAGUUCGUAUAAUUUUCCAAAUAUACCCAUAUUAAAUCAAAUAAAAAAAUGCAUUUAAUGAUAUAUUGUAAUUCUAAAUUGUUAAUGAGGACCAAAUGGGCAUGAAAAAUAUGUAUUUAAUGUUGGCUCAUUUCAAGGAAAAACAUGAAAUAUACUGCCAAAGUGAAAUGACCAAGACCAACAAAAUGAAAUGAAAUUUCAAGGCAAAAGUGAUCUAGUCCAAGCAAGUUCCCAACUUUCGUUUUAUUUUUCUAGGGAGGAAGAUAUUUACAUGACAACUUGAAGCUGUCCACUUUAGUAAGGAAUCAAAUCAAUACGAACAAACACUUUAGUAAGGAAAUCCACAUCACCCCACUAUAGAAAGGAAAUAAUGAGAAAGGACAAAUGUUUUCCACAACACCCCACUUGGUGGGAUGCGUUCUCUUUCUUCUCACAAAAGUGAUUCGUUUUAUUUUUCUAGGGAGGAAGAUAUUUACAUGACAACUUGAAGCUGUCCACUUUAGUAAGGAAUCAAAUCAAUAGGAACAAACACUUUAGUAAGGAAAUCCACGUCACCCCACUAUAGAAAGGAAAUAAUGAGAAAGGACAAAUGUUUUCCACAACACCCCACUUGGUGGGAUGCGUUCUCUUUCUUCUCACAAAAGUGAUUGUGUCCAGCUUACUGAUGCCGAGGGAAUUGAACACAUAAUUGCUAAGUUAAUGGCUUGACUUGAGUUUUAAGUAAUUGCAUUAAUACUUACCUGCGUAGCUUCCUGGAACCUCUAUCUGUGCUGAUUUUUCUUUUCUUUCUAAUCAUUCUAGUUCCACAAUCCCGUGCUCACAGAAGAUUUCUUGAAACCACUACUUUCCAAUGGCAUCGAGCAGCCAAAGGGCCUUCACUUCAGCUACUGCAGUUUGUUCAUGGAAAUACGAAGUGUUUUUGAGUUUCAGGGGUGAGGACACUCGCAGGGGUUUUACAGACUAUUUAUACAAACAGUUGGACUGGCGAGGAAUUAGAACUUUCAGGGAUGAUCCAGAUCUUCAGAGAGGGGCAGAUAUCAAUCCGGAGCUUCUGACCGCGAUUGAACAAUCAAGGUUUGCAAUCAUAGUUCUUUCAACAAACUAUGCUUCAUCAAGUUGGUGUUUGCGUGAACUAACCCAUAUUGUUCAGUCCAUGAAAGAGAAGGAGAGAAUUUUCCCAAUUUUUUAUGAUGUGGAUCCCUCUGAUGUACGACAUCAACGGGGGAGUAUUGGGGCAGCCCUCGUUAACCAUGAAAGGAAUUGCGGGGAAGACAGACAAGAGGUGCUUGAGUGGAGAAAUGCUUUAGAAAAAGUUGCCAAUCUCGCUGGCUGGAAUUCGAAGGAUUAUAGGUAAACAUGAAGACCAGUUCUUGAAUAUUGCAUUUCAGUUUUGCCAUGCACUUUAUCUACGAUGUAUUCACCUUAUCUGAUGAUUUUUUUUUUCCUUCUACUUCUAGGUAUGAUACAGAGCUUAUCACAGAAAUUGUUGAUGCAGUGUGGGAUAAAGUGCGUCCCACAUUUUCAUUGUUAGAUUCCUCAGACAUAUUAGUCGGACUUGAUACUAAACUAAAGGAAAUAGAUCUGCAUUUAGAUACAAGCGCAAAUGAUGUGCGCUUUGUGGGGAUAUGGGGUAUGGGCGGAAUGGGUAAGACAACCCUAGCUAGAUUAGUUUAUGAUAGAAUUUCUCAUAGUUUUGAAGGUAGCAGCUUUCUUGCAAAUGUCAGAGAGGUUCAUGCAACACAUGGUCUAGUUCCUUUACAGAAACAGCUUCUUUCCGAUAUCUUGAGGGAAAAAAAUAUACAAGUUUAUGAUGCUUAUAGUGGAUUGACUAUGAUAAAGAGGUGUCUAUGUAAUAAAAAGGUUCUUCUCGUUCUUCAUGAUGUAGAUCAAUCAGACCAACUGGAAAUGUUGAUCAGAGAAAAAGACUGCUUUGGUUUGGGAAGUAGAAUCAUCAUUACAACUAGAGAUGAACAUUUGUUCGUCGAACAUGGGAUAGAGAAAGUAUAUAAGGUCAUGCCAUUAACCCAAGACGAAGCUCUUUAUCUCUUUAGUAGGAAGGCCUUUAGAAAAGAUGACCUUGAAGAAGAUUAUCUAGAACUGUCUAAAAAUUUCAUAAACUACGCAGGAGGUCUUCCAUUAGCUCUUAAAACUUUGGGGUCUUUUUUGUAUAAAAGAAGUCGAGAUGAAUGGAAGAGUGCACUAGAUAAACUGAAGCAAGCUCCUGACAGAAAAAUUUUUCAAAUGUUGAAAAUAAGCUAUGAUGGACUAGAGGAGAUGCAGAAGAAAAUUUUUCUUGAUGUUGCAUGUUUCCAUAAGUUUUAUGACAAGGAAGAAGUGAUUGAAAUACUAGACAGUUGUGGUUUUGUUGGCACUCGUAUUGUGAUACAUGUUCUUAUUGAGAAAUCUCUCUUGUCUAUUUCAAACACGUGCCUGUCCAUUCAUGAUUUGAUACAAGAAAUGGCAUGGGAGAUUGUUCGUCAAGAGUCUUUUGACGAGCCAGGUGGUCGCAGUCGCUUGUGGCUUCACAGUGACAUCAUUCAUGUACUCACGAACAAUACGGUAAGAAGUUGCACAAAAAAUAAAAUACCAAAGCCUUGGAUAACAUACCAUAAUUCCAUUAAUAACGAUAAGAGAGACUUGAUUAUGACACUAACUUUUCUUUCAUUCCUAUUUACAAGGGAACGGAAACCAUUGAAGGCAUAGCCCUACGCUUGCAUGAAUUUGAAGCGGCACACUGGAAUCCUGAAGCAUUCACUAAGAUGUGUAAACUAAGGUUGCUCAAGAUUAAUAAUUUGCGCCUUUCUUUGGGCCCAAAGUAUCUUCCCAAUUCCUUAAGGAUUCUGGAGUGGAGUUGGUAUCCCUCCAAAUGCCUGCCACCAAGUUUUCAACCUGUUGAGCUUGCUGAACUUCGUAUGCAGCAAAGCAAAAUUGAUCACCUUUGGAAUGGAAUAAAGGUAAGACUUUGCAAGCUAUUUCUUUUCAAUCUCAAUAAAUUGUACGGUUCUUGGAAGUUUAUUAAUUUAAUCUACCAUUUUCAUGUUUUGUACAGUACAUGGUGAAGUUGAAAUCUAUUGAUCUUAGUUACUCCGAGAACUUGACAAGGACCCCAGAUUUCACAGGUACUCAGAAUCUUGAGAGGCUGGUUUUUGAAGGUUGUACUAAUCUUGUUAAGAUUCAUCCAUCCAUUGCCUCUCUCAAAAGACUAAGAGUUUUGAAUUUUAAAUACUGUAAAAGCAUUAAGAGUCUCCCAGGCGAAGUAGAACUGGAAUCUCUUGAAACAUUUGAUCUUUCUGGGUGCUCAAAAGUGAAAAAGAUUCCGGAAUUUGUGGGAGAAAUGAAGAAUUUUUCGAAGCUUUCUUUAAACUUCACUGCUGUUGAGCAAAUGCCUUCAUCAAAUAUACAUUCCAUGGCGAGUUUGAAGGAGCUUGAUAUGAGUGGAAUUUCUAUGAGAGAUCCCCCAUCUUCCCUGGUUCCAGUGAAAGAUAUCGAACUGCCUAGAUCAUGGCAUUCUUUCUUCACUUUUGGCUUAUUUCCAAGAAAGAAUCCCCACCCUGUGAGUCUGGUGUUAGCUUCCUUAAAAGAUUUACGCUUUUUGAAGCGUCUAAAUCUGAAUGACUGCAAUCUUUGUGAAGGAGCAAUACCUGAAGAUAUUGGUUUAUUGUCCUCUUUAGAAGAAUUAAAUCUUGAUGGAAACCAUUUUGUUAGCCUUCCUGCAAGCAUCAGUGGGCUUUCUAAUCUUUGGAACAUCACAUUGAAGAAUUGCAAAAGGCUUCAAAAAUUGCCAAGCCUUCAAUUAAACGGACUACUAGAUAUGUGUGUAAACACUGAUAAUUGUACUUCCUUGAAAAUAUUCCCAGAUCCAACAUCGACGUGCAAUGGUUUAAGUUCUAUGUCGAUUAGUUCUUCCAAUUGCUUCAAUUUGAUUGGCCAUCAAGGUUCCAGUUCCAUAAUAUUUUUAAUGCUGAAGAAAUUCCUUCAGGUACUUCUCCUUCUUCCUCCUUCCUCUUCCCUCUUUAGUUGUGUAGUACUAUUUAUAUCCUUCCUUUGGUGCAGGAAAUUCCUCGUUCUUUGGGCAUCAUCGAUAUUAUAAUUCCUGGAAGUGAAAUUCCUGAGUGGUUCAAUAAUCAAAGUGUGGGAGACUCAGUAAUUGAGCCACUACCUUCGGAUUCUAAUAGCACGUGGGUGGGGUUUGCUUUUUGUGCUCUAUUUGUAGCUACUGCUACGAAACAUAAUUCAAUCACUUUUCGUUGCCUUUGUCCAGAAGAGAAGACGUGGGUGAAGGUGAAGAAGUGUGGAGUCCGCGCACUAUACGAACAAGACGCGGAAGAGCUCAACCGAACAAUGAAACAAUAUUCCAACAGAAAGAAUUCUUUUUAUGAGGACGUCACAGAUUGUGAUUUUGACAAAUCAGACAAGGUACAAGGUGCCAUCACUAAGCGAACACGUGAACAGUACUGUACUGAGACAGGACCAAGCGGUACUGGUACCCUUGGCAAAGAAUCACUCUGCAAAAGAAUGAAAGAAGACUAAUCGUAUCCAAAUUUGGUUGGGGGAGGAGAGUUCCGUCAUCCGGAAGCCUAACGGGCGCAUUUUACCGACUGAAGCAUUUAAACAUGGUUGGGAGACAUCUAUGUAUGCUUAAAUUGUUUCUUUCUUAGGCUAAAUCUCACAUGUGCUGUAUAAAUUCAAUACGUUAAUUAGUGAAGCCCUUUUGAGAGAUUGACAUUAACUCCAAUAUGACUUGUGCUGCAAUUCCAGUACUUCAUUUUUCCUUAUACAAAAACUUUUUUUUUUUUUUUUUUCAGGCCUGUUAUAACCCUUUCAAAUGACUCAUCAAAUGUUACAUUCAUCCAAAUAGUGACUUAAUGACAUUCAAAAAUAGUUUCUCAAAUUUAAUUUUGCUUCCAAACUAAUGGUGUCAUGAACUUGAGCUUAAUAUCAUCAACCGACCUUAUUUGCACACAUAUUCAAAGAAAUUAUGUUUAUAUUUUAUUUUUAUUUUUUGGCAUAUGGAGAGAAGAGGAGUUGAACUUAGAACCUUGGAUGUACGGAUUAAUGCUCUUAAAUAAGACAAAAUGGUCAAUAAGAUCUAGCCCAAUGGAAAGGACUUUGACUUUGCUGACCAAUGGUCUCAGUUUUGAACCUCCAUGACACAUUAACAGUAUGUGUGUGAAAACCCUCCACUUCCAAUAUCGCUUGAAUGGAAAAAAAGACAAAAUUAUAAAACGAUGCUUCUACAUUUAUAUAAUUUACAUAGUGGUUUUAAAUUGGCCAAAAUUGAGGUCGUACUUAGUAUAUAUUUAUACCCAAAAAAUAAAAAUCCACAAAAACUAUCUAUCCCCUUGGACGAAAAUUUCCCAAUUACUAUCCCCUUACUAAAGCCACAAAGACUUCAGCCCGUAGACGUUCCCAAUUGAAGGGACCCCCUUUUAUCUUCCAUUAUUUGUUUUAGUUAUUUAUUUAUUUAUUGGUCUUAUUUUAUUUUAUUUUAUUUUCAUAACUCUUAAAAAUUCUGGAUCCGGUGUAGGUGUAGAAGUGUUUUCCUUUGAAACACACUAAGAAACUACCGUUCGUGCAGACACAACAAACGUCAUCCUUCACCGUUGGAUCCCACAAACAGAAUUAGGAUUUGUGUUUCUGAGGAUUCGAAUUAGGGUUUGACGGCAAAUUGCAAAUCGAAUUUAUCCGACACUACAAUCACCACGUUUGUAUCGAUGCUGGUAAAAGGAAGAAAGGUUUCUGGGCGGGGAGAGGCCGUGGCGGCGAACUACGCGUUCGGGCCGCUCGAAGAUGACGUAAUCAUCAAGCACAGACUUCUCACUCGAACCACAACCACAAGAGGCGAACCCCCAUUGAAGAAGCUCCAGAAGAAGUUCACAUCCCUAUUCGUCGAGCUCGACAAGAACGAGGACAACUAUGGCGACUGCGACAAGCUGGCCAAAGCUUUCCUCCAAGAGCUCAGCACCUUCGAGAUUCCGCUCCUCAAGAGCAAAGCGGUUGUGGAUGCGAAUCUCAGAGAGAAGCACAAUUUUGACGAGUUGAGGGAGGAGAUAAAUCGGCAGAUAGUGCAAGCGCAGACCGACAUUGAAUUGCUGAAGAAGCAGCUUGAGGAGAG
rnacentral:lncRNA from 1 species